rnacentral:lncRNA from 1 species
AUGGUUGAAAAUGAUUAAACCAUAAGAUAAAAGAGCUUUUAUUCAAAAUGCAAAAAUCAACAAAAUAUUAAUUAUCGCUCAACUUAGCAUAAUUAAACAUUUAGGUGUGAAAAUCAAAUCACAAUUUGAGUAGCUAAACAUAUCGCUUGAAAAUGUGAUAAGUAAGAAACUUGCCCACAUUUGAGUAGCGACAGGUGGUGAUGCAUUUCCCAACGAGAGAAAACCAAGCUCUUUGCCAGUAUGGAUUUAUGUAGAGGACAACAAAAAUUGUCAACAACACAACUACAUAAGAAACCAAAAAGCUCACACAAAAAUCACCUAUCAAACCAUCUUCUCCUUUAUCUUCUGAUACAGUUAAUAUCGUUGAUGGCGAAUCGAUUUUGGAACAACUUUUAUGCAAUAUAGCUCCACAAAGAAAAGGAUUUCCCUCAUAACUGUUUUCAAUAAAGGUCCCAAAUUGAGCUUUUUCGGGAAUACUACCUGACAAGUUGUUGUAUGCCACGCUGAAAACCUCCAAAGAGUUCAACUCUACCAACUGAUUGGGGAUUUCACCACUCAAAUUGUUGUAAGAAAGGUCCAAACUCUCAAUUUGAUGUAGUUUUGCGAAUGACGAGGGUAUAACUCCUGUCAACUUAUUGUGCGACAAGUUUAAAGAAUGGAUUUCACUUAAGUUCCCUAAUUCUGGUGGGAUAUGACCAGUUAAGUUGUUGCAAGAUAAAUCAAUCCCGGUCAUAUAUGAAAGGAUGUUGCCCUCGUACAAAAAGAUCCCACUCUUUGUUGUGAACUCUAUUACUUCUUCUAAGUAGCUGUCAGGAUAGGAAGAAUCUAUUCCCAAAUUUAGUAUCAUACUGCGUGUUGUUUCAUCCUCUUCUAUAGGCCCAUAGAACUCAGUGUCUAGAAUCUUCUUCGUUUGCAUUAGAAGAGAUAAAUUUCCCAAGCAAGAAGGUAUAGGACCAGAAAACAUAUUUUGAGAAAGAUCUAUGAUGCUUAAAGAAUGCAACUUGCAUAACUCAACAGGAACUUUACCAUGAAAAUGAUUAUCUUUCAAGAGAAGAACACUCAAAGAAGAAAGCGUGUAAAUCCAUUUUGGAAUACUACCUGUCAAAUUGUUUCCUCUAAGAUCUAAACUCACUAUUGAAGAGCUAUUAUAAAAAGCAAGCGACAGUGGGCCUCUCAGUCUAUUCCCGUGGAUGUGGACAUGCUCUAUGUAUGGUGGAUUAAAACAUGACGGUAUAGAGCCAGAUAAAUUAUUCUGAGAAAGAUCCAAAAAUUCCAACCUAUUCAACUUGCAAAAUUCCAUUGGAAUAGAACCUUCAAAACCAUUAUUAGACAAAUCUAAUCUCCACAAAAAUGAUGCAUUCCCUAUCCAUCUUGGGAGCUUUCCAUGCAACUUGUUGUUACUGAGAUCAAUUUGGCUUAGUGAAUAUGGAAACUCAAAAGUAGAGGCAUUAACAUUUGUCAUCUCUCCUGAAAAAUUAUUUCCAUCCAAAUAUAAAUUCUCCACCCCAUUCGCGCUGAGAAUCACAGGAACUACAUUUCCACUGAAGUUGUUAUUUGAUAGUUUCAAAAUGAUCAGUGAGCCUUUCGUGAUCAACUCUUCUGGUACUUUUCCAUACAAUUGAUUGUUUGAUAGAUCUAAAAAUGAUAAGUACUUCAUGCCACUUAAACAAAGUGGGAUAUUACCUUCAAAAGCAUUCUUGGAUAAGAGUAACCGCCUCAAAUGUGGAAAAGUUGAACAUAUACCAGUCGGAAUUUGACCUUGUAAUUUGUUUUCAGAUAUGUCAAUUGAAGAUACAUUAGAAAUAAGAGCUGACGAACGUGAGAGAGGACCUGUAAAUGAAUUACCCUUCAAGAUGAGUUCUUCUAACUUUGUGUUGUUUUCUAGCAACCAAGUUGGUAAAGUUCCACUGAGAUUGUUAUGAGAAAGAUCCACAUAUCUCAAGUCAUAUUGGUAGUAAAGGAAGGUAGGAACUUUUCGACUGAGUUGUUGAGAUGUUAUGCACUUUGACAAACUGAUGACUUCCAAUUGGAACUUUGGGAUUGAGGUAUAAAAGGAAGGUUCCAAUACCAUUUUGUUUUCAUUACUGGAGAGGGCUUUGAGGUUUGAAAGGUUUGCAAAUGGUGCAAAUGACAGUGGAAUUUGAAAAUGGUUUCUUGAAAUAUCUAACACACGAAGAGAUGUCAAGUUACUAAAACAAUGAGGAAGCAUCCCCUCAAGUGCAUUCUCACUCACUUCCAACACUUCAAGGUUCCUUAGAUCACACCAUCCUGAAAAUUUUAUAAAUUCAUGGAAGAAGUUUCAAUUAAAUCUUGUUUUAUAAAACAGAAUAGGAUAUAAUAUAUUACAGAAAGCACAUACAGCAAUCAAUUUGAGCCAUAAAAUUAUUUACCUUGAUUAGGUAAGGGACCAAUAAGUCCACAAUCAGAUAAAGACAAUGUUUUAAGAGAAGCAAAUACUCCAAUGCUUUGCAAAAUGUUGGUGUUGAGAGUAGAAUUGUCAAGAUAUAUUUCCUCCAAAUUGCUCAACACAUUUGAAUCUAAGCAAUGUCAAGAGGUAUUAGAUAACGGUAUUAUAGAAAGCCUCUACUAAGUGAAAUGCUUUAUUUUCUGUGAAUGAAAUGAAAUAUAUAAAUUUUUUUUAUGAGUGUUAGACUAUUCAUGAUUAUCUGAGAUAAAUUUUGAUGGAGAGAAGAUGUUGAAACUUUAAUAUAACUCUUCAUCCAUUUUAUUAAUUAUACUAUUUUUUUUCUUUUUAGUAUUUUCUUAUAUUAUUUUUUAAUAUAAGUAAUUAACUGAUAUGGCUAAUUUGUAUAAUUUUCAAACUCCAAUCAACAACACUAUAAAUAAUAUUUAUAAAAUAAAACAUUUCUACACUAAAAUUAUUAUAUUACCUUUAAAGUUACCAAUACUUUAAAAAAAAAUAAAAAUAGGUAUUUUACUCACCAAUAAAUAAAAUUCAAAAAUAUAUUUAUAUAUGAAAUUAAAAAAUUUAUAUGUAUUUUUACUUUAAAAAAAUAAAAACAGGUAUUUUACCAAUACUCUAAUAUGUAUUUUUAUGUUUUAUACUAUUAAAAAUAUAUGAAAUUAAAAUAUAGUUAUAUUACAUAUUUUCUCAUAAAUAUAUGUUUUUAUUUAUUUAUAAUAUCAUUUUUUUAUUGUUAUAAUCAUUUUUUAUCUCAUAAAAAUUCAAUAAAUUAUUUUAAAAAAUAUAUUUAUACAAACAAAAUAAUUAUAAACAUUAAUAUUUAAAAAUUAUGAAAAAUUUAAAGAAUUUUAGUUUCAAACCAAAGUCGAAACACAUUAUAAUGGAGGGUUUAGAAAAUGUUUCACCAAACCCAUAUUUUACUUUCAAGUAUGAUAUGAUAUAACUUUAUUAAUAUUUAUGACAAUAACUGUUAUUAUAAUAUCUGAGAUCAAAACUAAAUUUCUAAAUUAAAAAAGAAAAGGAAAUUUAAUUAAAUGAUACCUUGGUGGAUCACAAAAUCUCUCAAUUCAUUAUAGCUCAUAUCUAGUUCCCUUAAUUUGAUAAAUGCUUCCAAAUCUAGGAAAACAAAAACAACAAAUUAAUCAACUCCAUUAUAUUCUCUUAAAACAUUAUUAUAUUCUUGUUAAAAAACUAAUAUUUUUACCUUUCAUAUCUAUUGAUCCUUUCAAUUGAUUGACCCUUAUGCUCAACGAUUUCAAAUUUGAAAGCUUGUUAAGGGAUGCAAAUGCACUAGUAUUGAAGAGAUUUCCAUCUAAAUUAAGCUCUUCCAAGUGGGUCAACUCCAAUUUUCUACCACCAUCUACAAAAGAUUUAUAUAAUUUCAUCACUGAAAUGAAUUGGCAUAAAAUUUAAUUAUAUGUAAGAAUUUAGGUAAUUGGUUAAAUAUAAAUGCAUACCUUUAAAGGAUUGAAAGCUUUCAAUUUGAUUCCCACUUAAAUCGAGUUUCUUCAAAUUUGUUAAAUUGCUCAAUCCUAUACAUAUCCACGUCCAAUUUAAAAAAUCAUUAUGUUAAUAAUUUUAAUUUCUACUUAAUAUUUUAAUGAAAUAAAAAUGAAAAAGAAAGUAAAUCUAAAACUUGAAGUGAAGAUGAAAAUCCUCAAACGUGAAAUGUGAAUGUUCAAAAUUAAAACAAUUGAUUUUAAAAGGUUCUAGAAAGAAUUAUCAAGAAAAACAAAGUUAUAGCUUUAGUACCUUUAGUAUCUAAUGAGCCUUGCAAACUGUUCGACCUCAUAUUCAAGGACUUUAGGCUUGAAAGCCCUUGAAGAAAGGAAAUUGUGUUGUUCCGAAAGAGAUUACCACUCAAAUCAAGUUCCUCUAAGUUUGUUAGCCUCAAUUGUGUUCCAUCUAUCAUUGGAAGAAAAUAAUAUCAUUCAAGAUAAAAAUAGUUAGGAAAAAUGAUUGUUUGAGAAGGAAGAGGCAAUUUACAAGCUUUCCCAUGAAUUGAUAACUACAUUUUACAAGUAAAACUUAAUUGAUUCAAUAUAUAAAUACUUUGUUUGAGAUACCUUCCUAUUUUGAAAUACUGCAACAUUAACUGUCCCUUAAACAAAAAUUGGUUUUAAAGUGAAAAAGAAACAUAUAAAAGCAGUCCACCUUUAAUAUGAAUUGACAUAUAAAUACUGUACUUAUACCUUGGUUUGAGAUGCUUUCAAAUUUCAAUUCUGUUCCAACUUAAAUCCAAGUAUUUCAAGUUUGUCAAAUUAUUCAAUCAUAAAAUUCAAUCCCAAAUAUUGAUUAGUUAUAUAUUCAUCGUAUGAUGAAAUCAAACUUGAAUAUACAUUGAUUUUUAAAGUUGAAAAGAAACAGGUAAAAUCAGUCUACCUUGAAUAUGAUCCAUCCUUCCUUUCAACUCAUUACCACUCAAUCUUAAAGUCUUCAAGGAUGAAAGAUUUCUCAUAUGGAACAAAAUGCUAUUCUUCAAAGAAUUCCAACUUAAAUCAAGAGUUUCCAAGUUAUUGAGUCUUGAAAGCAAUUGAAAACCUGAUAUAUAUACAUAAUUACUUGUUAAUUGUUUUUUUCUUUCUUUGCUAUAUGAAAAUUUUACUAAAGCAAUAGUGGAAUUACAACGGAUAAAAAGAAUGGAAAACUAGGUACCAAACCCAGAAGACCAUCCUCAAACUCCACUAUACAAAUAAAAACUAACACCAGACCAAACUUAAUUUACCUCUUAGAUGACUUGAUCCUUCUAAUUUGUUGUGUGAUAGAUCUAAAUACCGGAGAGAUGAAAGCUCACUCAAAGAUAACAAAAUGCUGUCAUUCAAGUAGUUUUCACUUAAGUCAAGGAUCUCCAAAUUACUCAACGUGGAUGAUAGUUUUCCAAAGCCUAUAGAAAUAUUCUUUUAAAUAUAUACAAGUUAGUGACUUUUCUUCCAUAAAAUAAAAUAAAAUAUAAGUAAUUGCAAAUUAACGAUGGUGAGAGUAGUGGAAUAAUAAAAGAUGUAAUUAAGGAAAAACUAGAGGCACGACCUUCAUUUUCAAGAUUACCACUUAUGGCAUUCCCCGACAAAUAAAGACUCUUCAAUUCCUCAAAGGGAAGAAACAUAGAGGCAUUGAGAUACCAGGCAUUGAGAUUCCUAUUAUCCAUGUCGUAUUCCCAUUUUGUAGAAUUAAGGGAGAGUUGUAUGAGUCUCCUAGUGGUGGUGUUACACUCAACUCUUUCCCAUUUACAACAAUCUGAACCCUUCACCUCAACCCAACUAUUCAAUUGAUUACCAUCAUUGAAGAAAGGUUUGAGAUGCAAGAGAGCGAUUCUCUCAUGCUCCAAACAAGCAUCAGUAGUACACCAUCUGCAUCCUUCUAACACCAACAACAUUACUGCCAUCCUAAUAAACCUUAACCAUUUCCACUUCAUCAUCAUCAUCAUCUCUCUGUUUUCACUUCUCUCUCAGCUAUAUGUUACUUUUUUUUAACUUCUAUAUGUAUAUAAUCUAAAGAAGCCUAAGCUUCUUAUUUAUAUACAAGCAGAUGCAUCCCACUAACUCACUAUAAUGUAAAAAUAAUAUAUAAUUAAUUAAUUCCUCAAAAAUUGGAUCAAAAUCUAGGCUUCUUAUUUACGUAAAUUAUUUAUUGCAAAAACUCUUAGUGGAAAUUCGUUAGGAAGGGAUGAAGGGGCCACAAGAAUAUUGAUGUUAAUCUUGAAAAACGAAUGGCCAAAAAAAUAUGAAAAGUGAGAGGUGGACAUAAAAUCGUAUAGUUGGGAUUGCAAAAGUCUUCAUGUGGCUUUCUUGUGAGUUUCAUUUAUACCCUUCUUACACUUAUACAAACUUAGUCUUGACUUGGCUUUAUUAAUGGAAAAUUUAGGUCUUCAUUUUUGGUUUUAUUCAUAGAAAUUUUACUUCUUUGAUUUUGGUUUUAUUAAUGGAAAUUUUAAGUCUUCAGUUUGCUUUUAUUCUUGCACAUUUUAGGUUUUGAUUUUGAAAAUUUAGUUUUUUCAUCUCUAUUAUUAUAAAAUUUCUUAAUUUAAUUAAUAUCAUGAGUUAAUUUAAUACUUUAAAAAAUAAAAUAUUACAUUCACUAUUUUUUAAAAAAUAAAAGUAACUAUAAAAUUUUAUUAUUUAUAUAAUAUUUAAAAAAAAACUAUUUAUUUCUACUAGACCACUACUUUAAAACUAUCCAUUAUCAUAUUGUAAUAGGCCCAAUUUGCCCGGGCCCGGUAAAUAAAUAAAACCAAUAAAAUCAAAUAAAAAAUAGUCCCAAAACAGUCCAUUUACAAUGACCCAAUACCAACCCAAUGGCCUAAAUCUCUACCCAAGCCCGAAUCUAAACCUAAACAGGCCCAAAACCCACUAAACCUAAUGGCCCAAUACCCAGCUUGGCUGAGACAAACCCUAGCCUUCAGCAGCUUUCUGCUCUUGCGCUGCAGCCAAGCCGCUCCUCACGUACGAGCCUCAUUCAUGCGCCGCACCGAGCAACGCCAUCGCCAGGGACCACGCCUGUACUGUGCCACGCGAGCCUCCGUACAUGCGCGCCCGUUCACCUCUGUACCAGUACCUGCAAAUACACACAAGAAGCAGCGAAGCAACAAAAAAAAAGAGAAAAUAGCAGUAGAAAAAUAGGGGAUUUUCAGUUUUUAUUUGAUUUUUCUGGCUAUAAAAGCCAAACACGCAGAUUGUAUCAUAGGGGGAACUCACGCAUAUUGCAAAAAAACAAGGGGCAGAAAAUCAAUACAAAAAAAAAAAGAAAAGGUUUUCUCUUCCUUCAGGUCUCUUUUCUUCUCCAAUUGUUUCUUUUCUUUUUCGAUUGUUAUUAGCCUCAUAUAAGUAUAGAUAUAUAUAGAGUAAAUAAUAACAAAAAGGGGGGGUUAAAACGUACCUGGUGAUGCCUUUGAAUCCACGCGAAGAAGCCAAAAAGCCUUGAAUGGUGAGGCUCCGACCACCAUUCGCAGUGGAAUCAAGGCGGAGGGGCGGACUGACGGCACUGAAGACUAGGGUGAAACCCUAGCAGAGGAAACAAUAAGCAAUUUUUUUUAAAAACGAGUCUGCUAAUGUUUUUUUUAGGGUAAAUUUUGUUUAAAUAAUGAUACAAUACGGAGCCGUUUUGGGCUAGGGUUCCUAGCGUCCAAACGACGUCGUUUAGAGGCCUUACCCAAUGACCCGAUCCAGAUGGCGGCUAGAUCCGCGUGUUUGGUAGGGGGAGGGGAAAUUUCGCGAAGAGUCCCUCUUGUUUUGUGCCGUUUCGGUUUGAUUUUCUUCAUUGUUUUUAAUUUGAAUCGCGUAUUUUAUUUUGUUUUCAAUUUGAUCCACAGUUAAACGGCGCCGUUUUCACUAAUCGGAUUUGAGCAUCCGAACAUUUGUGUUUAUUUUCUGUUUUAGUCCUCUCUGUUAUUUUUUAUUAUGAUUUUUACCCUCCUAUUUUAUUUUCACCCUAAUUUAGUCCCGAAACUGUUAGAUUUCACUUUAUUUAUGCAAUGUAUAUAUUUAUUUAUUUUAAACUUUAUAUUAUUUAUUUUAAAUCGUUCUAUUACUAUUUAUUUUAAGCCUUUUUUACAUAUUAUAUGUUUUAAAUUAUGUUAAUCAAUUAUUCAUUUUAAAUAUAUAUUAUUUAUGUUAAACUACAAAUGUAUAUUAUUUAUUUGGAAUUGUUCUUAUGCACAUCAUGCAUUAUCAUUUUUAAAAAAAUAAUAAUAAUAGAAUUUGUUUGCAUAUUGUUCAUUUAGGAUUCCUUCUCACACAUUACUUAUUUUAAACGUUUUACAUAUUAUUUUAAAUUGUUUUAUAUGUUUUUUUUUAAAUGCUUUGAAGAUUAUUCAUUUUAACUUGUUUUACACAUUAUUUUAAUAUGUAUGGAAUUGCUUUAAUAUAUAUAUACGUGAAUAAAACGUAUUGUAACUGGUAAUUUCUAAAAUUUUAUUCUACGUUUUAAAAUUUUUAUCAUUUCGAUUAUGUUGAUUGGUUUACUUGGGAUUAAAUUAUUAUUGCAUUGAUUAUUCUUUUUUUUGAUUUUUUUGUUAGAUUGAUUAUUAGUUUAUUUGAUUAUCAAUGUUGAUGUAUUAUAUGUUUGGUUGCUCCAAAUUGUAAAUUUAGCUUGCUAUUCACCAUUUGAUUAGUAUAUUGAUAUUUUAUUAUAUUGUUUGUAAAAAUUGCAUUUCAUUAAAGCAUUACAAUUGUUUUAUUUCAAAAUUCUCAAAAAGCUUGGUAUUUAAAAAUUCUCGAGAGGAUUGUGCCCUAACUUACUGGGCUUACCUUUUUUAAUUUGAACAUAGAAGUUUCAAAAUAAAAGCUCAUUCUCGGGAAUUUGACACGUUGUGUCCUAACGCAUUGAAUAUGACUAUUAUUUUCUCGAGAUGAGGAUUUUAAGGCAAUGUUCGAUAUUUAGGAAUUUUGUGAAAUCGAACCCUAACUUACUGGGUUUUGAUUUUCUCAUUUGACCCAGAUAAUCGGACAUCCUCCUCAAAAUGCAUAGGUUUUAAAAGACGAGAGAUAAACUUAACUUGGAGGACUUAAAAUGUUGCACUCUAACUUACUAAGGGUGACGAUUUAUUUCUUUGAAAUAAGUGAGUCUCGUCGUCCAAUUCAUUUUAUUCAAAAUAAAAGGAUCAAAUUUUAAAAUCUUUUCAAAAUUUUGACAUUAAGACAUUAAACAUUCCAAUCGGUACCAAUUUUGGGCGUCACGAGGGUGCUAACCCUUCCUCGUGCGUAACCAACUCCCGAACCCGUUUUCUCAAAAAUUCGCAGACCUAAAAUUAUUUUCAAGGUGAUCCGCACACCACAAUAAAAGAUCGGUGGCGACUCCAUUUCCAUUUUCAAAAUUGAUCCCCAUUUUUCAAAUUACAAAAAAAUGGCUUCGACACAUAUAACUUCUCUUUAAUAAUUCACUAUUCUUUGAACAUUCAUUAGUUUUUGAAACAUAAAAUUUAUAAAUAAUUAUUUUUAGAGUAAACUACACCCAUGGUCACUUUUGUUUACCUUAGGUUACAUUUCAGUCACUUAUGUUUGAAAUGUUACGUUUUAGUCACUUAAGUUAUUGUGUUGUAACAUUUUAGUCACUGAGCCGUUAGUUGUCGUUAAUGGCUGACGUGGCACGUUAAAUUAUCAUUUCAAACAAAAACUUUAGGUUAAAUUAUACAAUUGGUUUCCAUAAUUUUUCGUUUUGAGCAAUUUAAUUCUUUUAUGCUCUUUAACUUUCUUUCUUUUUUUUCUUUAUUUUCCAUUCUCUUCUGCUUCUCCCUGUUUUCCUACAUUCUUUAUUUCUUUUAACAUAUCAGGAAGUCGAAUUGGUAGUGAAGAAAGAAGCAUGGUAUGGGUUUAUGGGCUUUGGUUAUGGGCAAAUGAUGACAGUCGACUUCCUACUUCUUUUUUCACUGUCAAUUCGACUUCCUAAUAUGUUAAAAGAAAUGGGAAAAGUAUGAAAACAGAGAGAGAAACAAAAAAGAAUGGAAAAAAAGAGGAAAGUUUAAAGAACAUAAAAGAAAAAAAAUUAAAUUACUUAAAACGAAAAAAAUAUGGGGAUCAAUUGUAUAAUUUAACCUAAAAUUUUGUUUGAAAUGAUGAUUUAACGUGCCACGUCAGCUUACCGUUACACCAUUAACGACGAUUAAUCGCUCAGUGACUAAAAUUUUACAACAUGAUAACAUAAAUGACUAAAACGUAACAUUUUAAACAUAAGUGACUAAAACGUAACCUAAGGUAAAUAAAAGUGACCAUGGGUGUAGUUUACCCUUAUUUUUAAUAUGACUUGAUUUUUACUUGAAUCAUUUUUGUAAUUAGUUAAUUAAAUUGGGUUAUUUUAAAAAAAUCCUCUUAACUAAUAGCCAAAAAAAAAAAAGCCAUCAUGUAGAAAAUUCUGGUUUGUUGGAAAAAUAAAGACUUGACCUAUUACUUUAGAUUUUGAAAUGUUCAACUUGAUAUUGACAUAUGAUAAUAUGUACAAAUUUCUCAUUCUUUUAAAUUUCAGUGAUAUUACAUGUAUGAUAAUAUGUUUGCCACACCAAAUUUGAAAAUAGUAGAACUUAAUGAAUUUAACAGAUAUCUAAAAUAUCAAAUUAAAGUCUAGGAAUUAAAGCUACAACAUCAGUAAAGUACAAGAACUAUGGUAGAAUUAAACCUUUAUAUAAUAAUUUCCUUCUAUGAACCACAAUUCAAGUGCACCCGACAAGCUAAUUAAUAAAAAUUUAGUGGUAGAAUAUGUAUAUUCUUGUGGGUGGAAAUUUAGUGGAGAUGCCCAUCAUCUUUCCUAAUUAAUAAAAAUGAAGACUUAGAAAAUGUGCAAUCAUAAUCCUAGUUGUCGUUAUGGCCCCAAGAAUAGGUAUAUUAAUUUGUCUCUCUUCAGGAUCAAAGAUAAAUAAUAAAUUUUAUAAAGUUAAAACCAUAAUUCUAUAAUUAUAUUAAUGUAUAAUUUCAUAAAAUUUUAAAAAAUGUAUCUUUCAACUUUUUUAAGUAAAUUGAUAAUUCGUUAACUCAUAAUAUUUUUUUUUUCAAAAUAUUUAUGAGAACGAGUUCGUAUUCUAUUGUGUGGAAAAUUUUAGUACAGAUAUUGGUGAAGCCAAAUCCAACUUGUUUGACCAAGAAAGUCUCUGUCGUGUGGAAAAUUUUAGUUUUGUGGAAAAUGGACAUUACCAUUUCCUUGAAUGACCAUCAAUUUCUCCAUUGAGAUAUAGUAAGAGGGAGUGAAAUAUAUAUAAGGUAAUAUUUAAUGUAUUCACACCAAAUUUCAUUAAUGAGUAAAACAAAUAAUGAAUAAUAAUGAAAAUUGGAGGAAAUUGUUAAGAAAAUAUCAUUACAUAUAUCAACACUCACAUAAUUCAUUGUAUUAACUUUCAAAUGUUGACUAUUGACUUCUACAUCAACCUUGAGCUUAUAUAGGCCCCCCUCACGGAAAUAAUCUCACAUUUAAUGCCUAGAGGUGCUUAUGGGCCGGGCCGGGCCCAGAAAAAAUUUUAGCCCGGGCCCGGCUCGGCCCGAAAUAUGGGCCUGAAAUUUUGCCCAAGCCCGGCCCGGUAAAAAAUUCAUAAGCCCGAGCCCGGCCAUUUUUUAAAUAAAUACCAAAAAUUUAUUUUAAAAUUAAAAAAAUUUAAAAAAAGUAUUUUAAAAAUAUUUUAAAUAAAUACCAAAAAUUCACCCUGCAUCUAAAAGGAGGUCCAGCACUCGAAUCCCAUUCCCCAUAACUAAAAACCAUGUCACUGUGACUUGGUCAUAUCUCCGUUCAAAGUCGGACAUGGGUAGUUAAAGAAAAAUGAAGAGUCGAUGCAUGAUAGACUAAGGACUAGCUCAAAAGUGCUUUUAGAAAAAAUUGCUCUUGAAAAGAGGUGUGGAAAAGUGUGCUUGUUAGUUUUUAGUGUUGUUCAUUGCUGCCAAAAAUCGCAAUUGAAAGUUAAAAUGUUCUUUUUAGACAUGAUAGUAGAAAGUAAAAAAUUAGUCAAGUCAUAUGAUUUUUAAAUAAUUUAAUAUAAUGAUACAUGAAAUAUAACUUUUAAAUACCUUUUAAGUAAUUAAUAUAAAUUAGUUGUAAAAUUGAUAAUAUAUAAAAUAUUUUGAAAAAAAUAAAUAUAAUAAUAAAUAAGAUUUAAACAAUUUAAUAUAAUAAUAUAUAAAAUAUAAAUUAAUCUAAUUUUUAUAUACCUUUUAAAUAGUUAAUGAAAAUAAUAGUAUUUUGAUAAUUUUCCCUUUGAAAUGCAAAAGCCAAAAACAGUUUUUGACUACAAAAGCUAUGUGUUGUUCAUCACUUCUGCAGUGGAAAAACACUUCUCCAUGGUGUAAAAACACUUUUACCCAAAAAGGCUUUUUCACCACAGUAGAGAAUGCACCCUAAAAUUGUAAAUAGAAAAAGGAAGAACCAAACAUUGUUUCUACCCUGUUUUUGUCUCCUCUUUGAAAAUACUUUCCAAAAGUUUUAUCAUUUUUUUUUCUGUUUACGAUGCCUUAAAUGCAAAUUCCUUAUAGAAGUGCUUUCUUUUGAUCCACUUGCAUCAUUGUAAUAAGUUUGCAUUGCCUUCUUUCUAUGUUGAUUAUCGUUUAUUAAGUUUUCUGUUGGAUCUUAUAGUCAAAUUCCUUUACAUCAUGUAUGUUAAUUUGCUUAGCCCUGAUAAAUGUUAGAUAUAGGGUUAUCAGCUAAUUAGGAAAGACUGUAAUGAUAGUCACACCUUACAUCCAAAUUUUUACAUUGAGGUUCCUUAUUAUUUUUUCUUGUUUCACCAAUUGCAUCCUAUUUACAGUUCCUUAGCGUUAUCCACUGUGCUAGGGUGGUUCUUGUUCAUAUAUUAAUCACCAUGCGCCUUCAGCAAAUGCAAAGCCAGCCAGCAUCUUCUGAUUUGUCAUUGGAUACUACACUUUCAGCAAAUGUAAAGCCGCCAGAUUUUCAGCUGUUUUUAGAAGGUCAAGACACAACAAGAGCAACAUAUGUUGUAUUCUUGUCAAACAAGAUAAGUUUUCGCAUAUUAACGAUUCUUUUUCCAAGAUGAAUUAUUCUCCUGUUGCAUUUUUAUUUGGGUUCAAAUGUUCUGUGAAGUUAGCUUGCCAGUGCUUGUUUGUUCAUCAGCAUUUACAGCUCAUUUGUCAUUGGUCAGCAGAAUUUCCGCUGUUUUUAGAAGGUCAAGACACAACAAGAUCAGCAUAUGUUGUAUCUAACAUUUAUAUUCAACAACUGGAAACCAUGUCAUAAAUACAUAUGAAAAAUAUUUAAAAAUCCUUGGUUGAAUACUCGUGCACUAACAUUUUUUAAAAGUUAAUUUUGUGUUACUUUUUUCAUCUCUAUUAUUAUAAAAUUUCCUGAUUUACUUGAUAUCACGACUUAAUUUAGCAUUUAAAAAAUGGAAUAUUACAUUCACUAUUUUUUUAAAAAUAGGAGUAACUAUCAAAAUUAAUUAUUUAUAUAAUCUUUUUUAUAAAAACUAUUUAUUUCUACUAAACCACUACUUUAAAACUACCCAUUAUCAUACAACUUCUCUUUAAUAAUUCACUAUUCUUUCAAACAUUCAUUAGUUUUUCAAACAUAAAAUUUAUAAAUAAUUAUUUUUACCUACAUUUUGAAUGAUGCAAUUUCUAACUAUACACUAAAAUACUCCAUUUAUCAAUUUAAUUUAAUUCAAAGAAUUAUGAUAAUAAUUGAAAUUUCAAAAAAGGAAAAAAACUAGAUAAUUGAAUAUUUAUAUACAAAAAUAAAACAAACAAGACAGACUUAAGCUUUCUUACCCCAAAGACAAGAUCUUUAUUCAAAAUGCAAAACUAGCAAAAUACUCCCUAAAAUUCAUCUAAACACAUCUUCUAAAGAUGUAAUACCCAAGAAGAUUGCCCACAGUUGGUGAUGCACUUCCCAACGAAAGAAAACCAAACUCCUCGCCAAUAUGGAUUUAUGUAAAGGAUAGCAACAAUUGUUAACAACAUAACUACAUAAGAAGCCAAAAAGCUCACACAAAAAACAUAUGUGUCUAGAAAACUAUCUUCUCUUUCAUCAUCUGAUAUUGUUGAUAUUGAACCGGUUUUGGAGCAACUUAUAUGAAGUAUAGGUCCACAGAGAAAAGGGUUCCCCUCGUAACUGCUUUCAAUGAAAGUCCCAAAUUGGUUUUGUUCUGGAAUACUACCUGACAAGUUGUUGUGUGCAACACUGAAAACCCCCAGAGAGUUCAAAUCUACCAGCUGGUUUGGGAUUUCACCACUCAAGUUGUUGUAAGAAAGAUCCAAACUCUCAAUCUGCUUAAGUUUUGAGAAUGAUGAAGGUAUAACUCCGACCAACUUAUUGCGUGACAAGUUCAAAGAAUGGAUUUCACGCAAGUUCCCUAAUUCAAGUGGGAUUUGACCAGUUAACUCAUUGCAAGAUAAAUCAAUCCCAGACAUGUAUUCAAGGAUGUCGCCUCCAUAUGAGAAAGAUCCACUCUUUGUGGUAAACUCUACCGAUUCUUUCAUGUAGCUAUAGGAAUGCAUCAUGUGCUCGAAAAGUAUACCCGUCUUUAAUAGUUUCAAUUCAUCCAGUUCUGAAAAUGUUGGCGACAUUAAAUCUGGUGUCAUGGUCUUAUCCUUAUUCAUUGGAAGAGUUAAAUUUCCCAAACAAGAAGGUAUAGGACCGGAAAACCUAUUUUGAGAAAGAUCUAUAAUGCUCAAGGAAUACAAGGUGCAUAACUGGACUGGAAUUCUUCCCUGUAAAUGAUUAGCUUUCAAGAGAAGGACACUCAAAGAAGAAAGUGUGUCGAUCCAUUUUGGAAUACCACCAGUAAAAUUGUUUCCUCUAAGAUCUAAUGUCACUAGUGAAGUGCUUUUAUUAAAAGCAAGUGACAAUGGACCACCCAGUCUAUUAUUGUGCAGGUGGACAUGCUCUAGGUUUGGAGGAUUAAAACAAGAUGGUAUAGAGCCAGAUAAAUUAUUUUCAGAAAGAUCCAAAAAUUUGAAGUUAUUCAAGUUGCAAAAUUCCACUGGAAUAGAACCCUCGACACCAUUGUUAGACAAGUCUAAUCUCUCCAAAAGUGACAUAUUCCCUAUCCAUCUUGGAAGCUUUCCAUGCAAUCUGUUGUUACUGAGAUCAAUAUCUGUUAGUGAUGUUGGAAACUGAAAAGUAGAGACAUCAAAAUUUGUCAUCUCUCCAGAAAAAUUAUUUCCAUCCAAAUAUAAUUUUUGUAACCCAUUUGCAUUGAGAAUCACAGGAACUACAUUUCCAUUGAGGUUGUUGUUUGACAGUCUCAAAAGAAAUAGUGAGCUUUUCCUGACCAACUCUUGAGGUACUUUUCCAGCCAAUUGAUUGUUUGAUAGAUCUAACAUUGACAAAUUCUUCAUGGCGCUUAAACAAGGAGGGAUAUUGCCUUGAAAGGCAUUCUUGGAUAAGAAUAACUGCUCCAAAUGUGGAAAAGUUGAACAUAUAUUGGUUGGAAGCGGACCUUGUAUUUUGUUGUCAGACAUGUCGAUUGAAGAUACAUUUGAAUUAGGAGUCGACAGUAAUGUGAGAGGACCUGUAAAAGAAUUACCCUUCAAGAUGAGAUCUUCUAACUUUGUGUUGUUUUCUAACAACCAAAAUGGGACAGUUCCACUGAAAUUGUUCUGAGAAAGAUCCACAAAUCUCAAGUCAUUUUGGUAGUAAAGGAAGGUAGGAAGUUCAAGACUGAGUUGUUGAGAUGUUCUGCACUUGGACAAACUAAUGAAUUUCAAUUGGAAUUUCGGGACUAAGGUGUGGAAGGAAGGUUCCAUUUCCAACUUGUUUUCAUCAGCCAAGAGGACCUCAAGGUUUGGAAAGUUUGCAAGUGGUACGAAUGAAAUUGGAAUUUGAAAAUGAUUACUUGAAAGAGAAAUGGCUCUGAGUGAUGUAAGACUUGCUAAAGGAGUUAGAUUUCCGGAAAAUCGAUUGUUGGAGAUAUCUAACUCACGAAGAGAUGUCAAGUUACUGAAACAAUGAGGAAGCAUCCCCUCAAGUGCAUUCCAACUCACAUCCAACACUUCAAGGUUCCUUAGAUCACACCAUCCUGAAAAAUUUAUGAAAUCAUGGAAGAAUUUCUAAUUAAAUUUGGUUUUCUAAAACAGAAUAGGAGAAAUCAGAUAAAGAAAAGGUCGUAUAGAAAAUUUUACCGUGAUCAGGUAAGGAACCAAUAAGUGCACACCUAUAUAGAGACAAAGUUUGAAGAGAAGUGAAUACUCCAAUGCUUUGCAAAAUGUUGAUGUUGAGACGAGAAUAAUCGAGAUUUAUUUCCUCCAAGUUGCUUAAUUCUAAUCAAUGAAAAGAGGUAGUAGGUGUUAAUGAAACGUAAGUUGUUUUGGAAUAGAAGAAGUAUUAGAUGUUAAUCAAGAAAAGGUGUUUACCUGAUGAGAAAGCCUCUACUAAGUUUUCUAGCGGAAUGCUAUCGUCGGUGACAAUACUUUGGAGACGAAGAACUUUUAACUUUUUCAAUCCCUUGUUUUCUGUGAGCGAAAAUAUUUUGAUAAAAAUUGUGAAAACUUCAACAUGAUUGCACUAAUUGUUUUUCUUUUCUUUCUAGCAUUUUAAGAUAAAUAAUGUGUAAAAUAGAAUUUUCCUUUAUUGAGAUCAUUAUAUUACUUUAAAUUUAUCACCACUAAAUAGAAAAUUAUUAUUAAAUCAAAGUUUUAAAUUUAUUAUUACUUAAAUGUUGUUUAUGCUGGGUGAUUUUGAUGAGAAUAAUUUAUUAUAUAAAAAUAAAAGUAUAUUUCUUAAAGUAAAAUAAGAGAAAUAUUUUAAAUUUUUUUGAAAGUGUUUAUAUACAUAUUACACUUAAUCACUCUUUUGAAAAUUCUAAUUACUCUUUUAAAUUUUAUGUUAAUUUUAAAAAGUAUAUAUAAUUUCAACAGAAAUAUUACUUUAAUAUUAAAAUGAAGAGCUUUUGUGGGUAAAAAAAAUUAUAUGAGUUUAUUUAAUUACAAAAAUAAUUUAAGAAUUUAUUUAAAAAAUAUGUAGUUGUUUUAGGCUCGAUCCUAGGGGUUAUUUGAGAGUGCGGUCGCCCAGGGCUGGAAGGGGCCCAAUUUUUUUUUCAGAUUUUAAUAUGGGAAAAUAUUCAGACUAAAAUAAAUAAAUAAAUUGCCUAGAGCUUUCAAAUUUUCACCAUAAAUACUUCAUCUCCUAUGGCUAAAAAAUUUUUCAGCUUUUAUUGUAUUACAUUUUAUAAUAUUUUUAAAAAGACUCGUUUAAAGACUUUUUUAAGUAUAUUAACCUAUUUUAAAAUUCCACAUUUUUAAAAUGUCUUAAUUUUCAAAUUAAAGUACAAACACACUAUAAUCCACAAGCCUUAAUUGCCAUGUCAACAUAAACCACCAUUUAGAAGAUUGUUUUCAUUUUUUAAAAAAUAAAAAAAAAUUAUUUAAAUGAUACCUUUGUGGACCACAAAGCCUCUCAAUUGAUUCCCACUCAUAUCUAGUUUCUGUAAGUUAGUAAAUGCAUCCAAAUCUGGGAAAGAAACAGAUAAGCUUCAUUAAAUCAUUCCAAAACAUGAUUAAUAUUUUUGUCUAUAGAGGCAUAAUUUGUCAAAAAAUAAUAAUUUUACCUUUCAUAUCUAUUAAUCCAUUCAAUUGAUUGAAACCUAUGCUCAAAGAUUUCAGAUUUGAAAGCUUGUUUAGAGUUGCAAAUACACUGUUAUUGAAGAGAUUUGCUUCUAAAUUAAGCUCUUCUAAAUGGGUUAACUCCAAUUUCUUACCUUCAUCUACAAAAGAUUUAACGUAAUUUCAUCAAUGAAAAAAAUGAUAUAAAUUUAAUUAUGUGUAAUAAAUUAUUUAACUGAACCCUAAAUUGUGGGUUAAUGGUUCAAGUGUUCGAAUUAUCAUUGUGUAAAAAAAACAAACUUAAUUAACGGACCAAAAUAUAAAUACAUACCUUUGAAGGAUUGAAAGUUUACCAUUUGAUUCCACCUUAAAUCCAACGUCUUCAAAAUUUUCAAAUUAUUCAAUCCUAUAUAUACUCAAGUUGAACAAAUAUUUUAAUAACUUGGCUGAAGUGAAAAGGGUAAAAGUAAGGAAGUUGAAAAAUCCCCAAAAGUGAAAGUACUAAUUUGAAACAAAUAAUUAUAAAGGGUCCUACAUAAGUAAGGACUUUAUGCUUGAAAGCCUUCAAGGAAGGAAAAUGUGUGGUUUCCAUGGGAUCUAAUUAUAAUCCUUGUUUGCUGGAUUCCACCUUUUUUAUUUGGCCAACAAAAAAUAAAUAAAUAAUAUAAAAAAAUUGUGAUUACUAAGGCUUCAACCUUGAAGUUUAAAUAGAAUUAUUCAAUCCCAAAAAUUGACCAAAAAUUUCCCUCAAACAAAACUUAACUUUAAAGUAGAAACAAAACCAGAGAAAGGCAAUCUACCUUGAAUAUGAGGCCACUUUCCUUCUAAUAGGUUGUAAGCUAGAUUUAAAUAUUGGAGAGAUGAAAAUUGGCUCAAAGAUAAUAUAAAGCUAUCAUUCAGAUGAUUUUGACUUAAGUCAAGGAACUGCAGAUUUCUGAAUGUGGAUGAUAGCUUUUCAAAACCUGCAGAGUUAAUAAUAACAAGUAAUCGCAAAAUUAACAGUAAGUUGUGUUGAAAAUAUGUGUACAUAAUAGAGUAACUAAAGAUGAAAUGAAGGGCAAAUCAAAUAUAGAACCUUCAUUUUCAACACAACCGGCUAUGCCACUCCCUGUCAAAUAAAGCCUCUUUAAUUCCUUGAAGGGAAGAAACAAAGAGGCAUUCAGAUACCAAUAAUCCAAGUAUCCGGACCUCAUAGAAUCAAGAGAGAGUCCAAUGAGUCUCCCAGUGGUGGUGUUGCACUCAAUCCCUUUCCAUUUACAACAAUCUGAACCUUUAACCUCGUCCCAGCUGUCGAACUCAUUAUAGUGAUUGAAGAAAGGUUUGAGUUGCAAGAGAGCAACUCUCUCAUGCUCCACACAAGCAUCAAUAGUGCACCACCUGCAUCCUUCUAACAGUAGCAGCACACUCAUCACUGCCAUCCUCAUAAACCACAACCAUUUGGAGUCCAUCAUCUCUCUGUUUUUGCUUCUCUCUCAAUUGUAUGCUACUUCAAACUUCUAUUGCAUUAGCCUUCAUGAAACUUGUUAUUUAAAGACAAGGACCUAAGGCUGAAGGCAACCCACUAGUCCACGCUGAAAUAGUCCACUGAAUGUGACGAUAUAUAGGCCCUACAAAGUGUGGUUGUGGAAAUAAUCUAAACACCUAUCCUCCAAAUUAAUACUAUUCCUUGAGAAAUUAUUAAAGGUCAAUUUCUGGUUUUAGUCCCUACGCAAAAUUCAUUUUGAAGGUUUAGUUUUUAUAUAAUUUAAGAUCAAAUUUUUAUAAUUAAAUUAUCAUUUACGUCUGCUUUAAAAUUAUGAAAAAAAUAUUUUAAAAAUAUAACGAACUCCAGCUACAGCUUCAAAAUAUGAUGAAGAUGUUUUAGUAGAAUAAAUCGCAGAAUCCGCCAUCUUUGACUUUUGUUUUCUUAUUGUGAGAAUAUCUUAACAUUAUAACUUUUGAAUAUAUUUUGUUAUUUCAGUUAUUAAUUUAGAUCAUAUACAAAUUUCUUUCGUGAUAGUCUCAUUUAGAUUUGAAGUUUGUUGUUGGAUUUGAAGUUACAGGAAAAUAUGUUGAAAAUUUGGGUUUAAUAUUAAAUAAAAUGGGUUGGUAAAAUCUAUUAAUGUUAGUGGCGUUUUCCCACAAAUGCCACUAUAGAACAUGAUCUUUAGCUGCGCUUUUACUACAAACAUUGCUAAAAAACAUGAUUUUUUGUGGUACUUCUAGCUAUAAAUGCCACAACAUGCUUGACUCUUUUAUAGUGUUUUUCCAAAUGAACGCCGCAAAUUUUAGCGGCGCUAUCUAAAGCGACUUUUUACUGGCACUUAUCAAAGCGCCGCAAUCUGUUUUAGCGGCACUUAUAAGCACCGCCAUAGGGCCAAAAAAACACCGCUAAAAACCUAUUUUGCUGUAGUGAUUUACGCAUUUAUAAGCCUACAAAAUAAUCACGGAUUCAAUUUUAGAGUCCGUUAUCAGCCCCUAAUCGGGACAUCAAAUUGACCAAAAAGGGCCCACAUGACCUACCUGUUCAACUUGUGUAAUUGCACACGCCUAAGUGCUCCACACGGCCUGGCACACGGCCAACUACACAUCAAUGUGGUGCACAUGAACUUGUGACGCAGAGUAGCUUUGAAAAUUGUAACCUCCCAAACCCGGCCUAGAUGUUAUGACUAGAUUGAGAAGGCUACAAUAGCCACCGAAAUGGCUAAGCUAACUUACGUUACUUUUGAAGACCUUAAAUAAACUCAUUUUAGAGAAAACCGUAGUUGUACUUUGAGUUAGCUUAAAAGCAUUCAUUCAUUAGGUCGUGUAUACUUAGGAUUCAUUUUAUUGUUGAUAGUGUUGUUUUACAAAAAUAGUUUGCUUAUCGCUCUUCUUUUAAAAAAAACUCGAUGGUAAACUAAUGUGCGGAAAAACCAUUUUUCAAGUCAUUUUGGAAACUUAGUUGCCUUAACGAUUUGUUUUUCAGAAACAAUUCCUUUUUAAUGCAGCGGAAACUAGGGAACAAUAUCAAAUUUUACUUAAGCUCGAUAUCAUGCAUUAUUCAGUUAUUAUGCUUGAGUAAUCCAUGCAUGCAAAAAUCCCAAAAGAAAAGUUACUAAGCCACAAACCACAAGUCAUUAAAAAUUACAAACCAAAACUAAUAGAAUCUGAUUAAUACUUUUUAAAAAUAGUCCGAGGUCCAAGGUGAUUCUUCGAAUGCCAAGUCCGAUCCUAAUUUUGAGGUUUACACAUUCAUUUGACAUACUCAGCACGUCCUCAAUAAUCACAUACUUUUAGUAAAUGAAAACAAUGUUCCAAACUUUCAAAUUACCAUUGUGUUGGUAUUAAUCAAUAUCGUUCAAUUUCGCAUACUUUAUGAAUUUUGAUUAUGCAUAAAUAGCACCCUAUACAACAUAUAUGUAUAUAAUAUAUGCCAAGAAAAUUUAGAAAUACAAUAAAUCAACCUAAAUGAAAUCAUUCAUCAUCAUUUUUCAAGAUUUUAAAUUAUAUUUUCUCAUUCCCAUUGUCAGUGUAUUUCAACUUGUAAACAAAGAUGAUGGCUACUAUAAAUGGAAUCAUUGAUAUAUCAUGAUAUUUGAAUUUGACAACUAUUUUUAUACAUUUUAUUACCAAAAGUAAGGGUAUUAAUUUUUUAAUGUUUAAUUGUGGUUUAGAGUUAAUUUAUUUAAAGUUAAUUGUUAAUAUUAUUAAAUUCAAAUUUUCGUAAUUGUAUUAAUAGAAUAAAUUUAGUGUUAAAAGUGAGUUUAUUCAAUUUUAUAUUUAAUUUGUUAAAUGUAAUCUAAUGAUUUUUUUGUGCUCUAGUGUUGAUUUAAUUAAAGUUAAUUAUUAAUAUUAUUAGGUAACUAUGAGUUCUCAUCAAAUUAAUCCUAAAAUUCAAAUUAAAUGCUAAAAAAUUAACAUUAUUACUUUUAAAUAUCAAAAUGUAUAAAUUUUAUUAAAUAUAGAUACUAAAUCAAACAAAAAUUAUAAAUUUUGAGUCGUUGCAAAUUUUUCCAACAUUUUUGGGGUCUUGAAUUUGAUAUGCAAAAAGUUGGUGGGAAUUUUAAGUCAGCAAAUCCUUUAAAAGGGCAAUGACAUAAUUAAUUGCAUUACUUUAAUGGUUGAAUUUUCAUAGCUAAUAUGUAUGCAAAAAGUUGGUGUGAAUUUUAAGUCAGCAAAUCCUUUAAAAGGACAAUGACAUAAUUAAUUGCAUUACUUUUCAAAGAUCGACUACUGACUUUGGUGAACUUAUUUAUAGAAGGUUAAAUUCUGCUGUUGGUCACUGUACUUUACGAAAGUUGUGAAUUUAGUCUCUAAACUUCAAUUUGAUCAAUUUUAGUCUCUAUACCUUUUGAAUUUUGAAAUUUUAGUUCUAACCCAAACAGUAGCAGUUAUCAAUUUGAUUAAAUUCUAUUACUAUCGAUUUAGUCCAAACUUUCUGAAUUUUGAAAUUUUAGUCUUGAUGCAAAUGACAAUCACUGGUCUAUUAAUUGGAUUUUUAGUAAAUAAUAUGUGAAAAUAACAAGUUUGUUGACACCAUUUUUUUGAUAAAAAUGGGGUCGACUUAGAUUUUGAAAAUAAAAACGAAAAUGGGAGUCGCCACCGAUCCUUUUUGAUAAGGUGUGAUCGGGUCACCUCAAAAAGUGAUUGUUUUUAAUAAGCGAUUUGAUUUUAUUAAAACAACGAUUUUAGUCCACGAAAUUUAAAAAAAUGGGUUCGGGAGUCGGUUACGUUCAAGGAAGGAUUAGCACCCUCGUAACGCCCAAAAUUGGUACCUAGUUGAUUAAUUAAUAUCUUAAUGUCGAGAAUUGAAAACUCGAAAAGAAUUUAAAAUACAAUCAUUCCUUUUUAUUAAUGUUAAAUUUAUAAACGAUGCUUGGAUAAAUCGAGGUGGAUGCUAAAGACCUUCUUGUCUCAGAGUAAAUAAAAUGUCAAUCCAGUACGUUAGGACACAACAUUUUAAAUCCUCGAGAACAAGCUUAUCUUUUUAUUUUCAAAACUCGUGCAUUUAAAUUUCAAAAGGAUAUUCGAUUAUUUGGAUCAAAGGAGAUAAAUCGAAACCCAGUGAGUUAGGGCACGAUCAUUCAAAUUUCCCAAAUACAGAAUAUCACUUUUAUUAUUUUUUUAGGAAAAUCCUCAUCUCGGGAAAACAACAUGUCAUAUCCAAUGCGUUAGGACACAACGUAUUAGAACCCAAUACGUUAGGGCUCAAUCUUCUCGAAGAUCCAAAAUACCGAGUAUUACCCUUAUUUUCAAAAUUUUCUCUUUAUUACGAAUUUGAGUAAAAAUUGUAAAUGACAGAAUAACAAUUAUGAUAAUGUAAAUAAAUAAAUAAAUGAAUAGAAUGAAAAAAAGUAAAAAAGACAUAUAUGUAUGUGCAUAUAUAUAUAUAUAAAUUAUAAAAAAUAUAUAUGAUAUUAUAAAAAUGUAUGCAUGUAUAUAUAUUAAAAGUAUAUGUAUAUGUGUAUUUCGAAAGUAUAAAGUAUAUAAGAUAUAUAUAUGUAUAUGUUUAUAAAUUAUAAAAUAUAAAACAUAUAAGUACGUAUAUAUAUAUAAAUGAAUCAUGAAAUGCACGUGUAUAUAUGUAUAUAUUAGAAAAUGUAUGAAUAUAUAACAAAAUUUGGAAUUAAGGAUGUAAAUGAGUGAAUAAUAAUAACAAUGAAUUAAAAUACAAAAUCAAUGAUGCCAUACAAUAGUAUUAAUAAUAUCAAAAUAAUUAAUUUAAUGAUAAAAUAACUAAAACAACAAAUAGAGGAUUAAAUUAGAAACUAAACUAAAAUUUGGGGUCAAAUAAAAAUAACUUAAAGAGGGUGACUCGGGACUAAAACAAAAUGCGCUGAAGGAGCAAGGGACUUCCAGGGAAAUAUUCCCUAGUCCUGAAACGCAGCACUUCAGCAAGGAUUAAAAUGAAAUCAGAAAAAAAUUUAUGGGCCAAAAUGAAAGAAACAAAAGGGACAAAUUGCACUGAACUAUAAAAGAGGAGGGGCUGAACGCGCAAAUAGCCCCUCCAGGCAUAACACGCGGAUCCUGACCGCAUUCGGGUCGGGUCUCGGAUCGGCUCCUGGGUUUUAUGCCAAACGGUGCUGUUUUGGCCAUGGAUGCUAAGGUCCAAAACGUCGCCGUUUUUAAACUAUAUAAACACUCAAAAAAUCAACAAAAAAAAAAUUCAUCCCUUAUUUUUUUCAAAAAAACUGAGAGUCUCCCUAACUCUCUCUCAACCCCCAUCCCUCAUAUUCGGCCGACGACCUUCUUAGGCCUCCGUCGCGCCACCUCGUAGCCGGAGGUCGGCGCCGGAAAUGAAAGGCCAUUAAACCCCUUUUGUGGAGUCCUUGAGAGCCAGGCUCUCUCAACCCGCGAGGAGUGAAACAAAAGGGGGACCCUCGACCUUGGCAGACCCGACUCAACGAUGGAGGAGAGAGCCUCUGGCGGCACAGUCACGGCCAACUCCAGUGAGUCACCCUUCCCUUUUUGUCCUUUCUUUUAGUACUAGUUUUAAAAUCAGAUUUUUUAAAAAAAUGAUAAAUAAAAUAAGUAAAUAAUUCAAAAAAAAAGAAUCGGAGAAGACAGCAACCUUUGUUUCUAUUUCUGAAAUUCGUAAAAAAAUGACAGACGAAGAAUACAAUGUUAAGAUUUUGGCCUUUAUAGCCGAUUUAAAAACCCCUAAAUUUUUAUUUUUUGUCGUUUUGUUGUUUGGCCUGUUCUGCUGUUGCGUGUGGUUUACUGCCUUGCAGGUGUCAGAGGCUGACGGUCGGUGAUAGGCGAGUAACGGCCUGCGUGAGGAGUGGCAGAGGAGGCAGAACAUGCGGCGCUGGGCAUUGGGCAGAGGCGUGCGGCGCUUUGGGGUUUGCUCUUGGCUGAAAUUGUUUAAGUUGUGGGGCAGUCGAGCCACUAGGGUUUUUUUUUAUUGGGACGUUUGGGCCAUUGUAAUUUUGGGUUUAAGUUUGCUGUAAAUGGACUGGAAUAGUUUUUAUUUUUUAGGCCCGGGCCAAAAUUGGGCCUUACAAAGUCGAUAUGACAUUACACAAAUGAUAAUAUGUUUGUCACACCAAAUUUUAGAGAUAGCAGAACUUAAUGAAUUUAACAAAUAUCGUUUACGGUGAUUGAAAUCUUAAAAUUUGAAAAGUACAAUAACUAAAAUAUCAAAUUAACUUAUAGGGAUUAAAUCCACAACUUCAAUAAAAUACAGGAAUUAAUGGUAGAAUUUAACCUUUAUAUAAUAAUUUCCUUGGUGAAAAAAACGCACAUUAUCAUUUCCUUGAAUGAACUUCAAUUUGUCCAUUGAGAUAUAAUCGGAGGGAGUGGAAUAUAUAUAAGAUAAUAUUUGAUGUAUUCGGUAAAUGGAGAAUAUUAAAUAGAGUGAGCAAGCCAUUCGCCUCACGGAACACAUUAACGAAAGACACAAGCUUAAUACAGUCACUAAAUCCAUCAAUUUCAUUAACAACCUGCUAAUAAUUCAAGACAAUUGUUGGGUCCGGAUGGAUUAUAUUUUAAAAUUUUCUUUCAAAAUACAGAAGUUCCUUUGACAAAAAUGAAAAUAUUAUUUAAUUAUAGGGUUAGUAAUUAGUACACUGAUAAUCUACUUAAUGCUAUUGAUUUUUUUUUAAUAUUAUACAACACCUUUAUAAAACACGUGUCAACCCUCUGACUCUGCUUAUGAAAUUUAAAAACUUCAAUGACAAUGUACCAACUAUUAUUCUUAAUUAUUAUACUAUUCAUGAUUUAAGGACAAAGAUCAAAUACAAUAUUUGCUUAAAAAUCUCUAAUAUAUAUGUAUAUAUAUAUAUAUAUAUAUAUAUACAUUUGCUCACUUAUUGUGAUGUAAUAUAGCACCAUCCAGCUAACCCUAGCUUUCUAGCAAGUAGUCGGAGGAAAUUAUUGAGAAAAUAUCAUUAAAUAUAUCAACAAUAAUUGCACUAACUUUCCGAUGUUAACUACUGACCUUUGCGUCAACCUUGAGCUUAUAUAGGCCCCCUACAAUAAUUUAGGCUAUGGAAAUAAUCUUACAAUUAAUGCCUGAGAAAUAAUUAUAGAUCAAUUUAUAGUUUUAAUCCCUAUAAUUACUCAAUUGAAUUAAAAAUUUUGUUAUUCUUAUUUAAUUUAAUUUGAUAUAUUCUGUUCCUCUUAUUAAUGUUAAUGUUUAGAGUCCCCGCUUGUACAUUGGUGAUUAGGUCUCUCACCAUUAAAUUAUUCUCUUAAGAACCUAACCUGCAAAUUCAUAACAUAAAAAAUUUACAGUCAAAUGUAAUCACACAAAUGACAUUCCUCACUUAAACAGAUUAAGUCGUUGCAAAUAUCUAAACAUAAUCAAAGUCGUCGUUAUGGCCCCAAGAGAAGGCACGUUAACUUGUCUCUCUCACACAUAGGAUGAAAUUAGUCUAAACCUAACCUUGGUAGAGCCGACCAUGUCGGGCAGACCACCCUACAUAAAUCUGAUUAUUUUAUCAUAGUUUAUUCAUCACUGAAGGAAGUAUGCAAAAUUAGGCAUACCAUUUAUCCUCACCUCUCUCGCUGACAAAAGAUUCAUGUUAAGUAUAUUCACCCUACAUAAAUUAUCAAGAGGAAUCACAGAUUUAAGGACCGUGGAAAAGAAUUCCAGAACCAGUUAUAUACAAGCAGGGCCUAUGACAUCCCCACUAAUUCUCAAUCAUAUAAAAUAAUAUAUAAUUAAUUCGUCUGGAAUGUUUAAGGCAUGGUGGUGAAUAUAUCAUGAGCGAUGUUGCUGAGUUUCUUCUGAAGAAUUGGCUAGCUAUUAGUGUCUAAAGGAUCUUUAGUUAUAUGGGGCUUAUGUUUCGGUUGCUUGAACAAUUGCUUUUCAGAGGGCAGAAUAGUAGAGGGGGGUUUUGGGGGUCUGGUGGUAUGGAGUUAUGAUGUUAUCAAUAUGAGAUUUUGGUGAUUUGUACUUGAUAAAGGGACACUUUUCGUGAGGGAUUGCUACAUUUUGCAGAUUAUAACAUUGUUUACAAGUGCUUAAAAUGUGUAAUAAUUUGAUCGAGAGAAAAAAUGACCAAAACAAAUGUUCUCAGCAUUUUUGCUUCAUUUAGAACUUGUAAUUAAUUUUUUUUAUCAGAGAAGUUGUAAUUAAUUGGAUUUGGAAUGAAUUGAUAAUAUCCUUACUAUUUCACCUUUUUUAUAUGUUUGGCGUGUGAGUAUGAUACAGAUUGAACUGGUUUUUAAAGUAGAAAUAAAACGAUAACAAACCAAAACAUUCUGGUUUUCAAAAUUUUGAAUCCAAAUCAAUCGAAUUAGUUUAAUUAUAAUUGAAUGUUUUAUGUGUUAUGAUGAUGAAGGAAGUUGAUGAGGUGACUUGCUUCAUCUUUCAAAAUAUGAGGUUCGUUUGAAGUUCUCUUUGACACAUCUUUACUAUUGUUUUUUAAUAACAAAUGAAAAGUCAAUUUAAAAAACAAAAAUCCAAACCAAUGAAUUUCUUUUAUACAUAUAAGAUAAGCUUACUGCAAAGCUCUUGUUUUUUCAAAAUAAAAUUUUGUUUUUGUUUUAUUAAUUUUGUAUGAAUCAAAUGAAGUUUAAUUUUUUUAAGGGUAAAUUAAACCAACAGUAACUCAACUUUGAUGCAGCUGACAAAAUAGUUGAUUUGGUUUCAAUUCAGUCACUCAACUUUCAAAAAAUAACAAAUCAGUCACUAACGUUACCAAAAAGUGACAAAUCAAUCACCCAUUAACAUUUUCCGUUACAGACCUAACGGGACAGGUGACAUGGCUAGUUAACUUGCCACGUUGACAUGGCAAUGCAUUUAAAAUUGGUCUAAUUAAGAAUUUGGUCAUUGUACAUUAUGAAAACAUAAAAAUUAUUUCAAUUGAGUAUCAAUAUUAAAUCUUGUCCAUUGACCCAAAAAUCAUCAUUUCAACAAAUUGUAUGUAAGAAAUUAGUGAAAAUCAACAAUUCAGUAAUUUAUAUCAAAAUUGAGGACUAGCUUUUCAUUUUUUUGUAAAUUACAUGGAUGACAUUCACAAUUAGACCUAAAUAGUGACAAAUUACAAAUUUAAACCCUAAAUACCUUUGUUCAGAGGAUCCGUAGCCAACAGAAUCAAUAAAACCGAUGGAGAUGAAACUCAUGCAUUUGGCGUGAAGAUGAAACUGGACAGAGUAGAACUCGCAUUGUUCGUCACCGUUGCAGGUGUCACAGUCACACGAGAAUCGCAUCGACAUGGCGCGUCGGCUAGUGAGAGGGAUUAGAUCAAGUCGAUGGGCAAUGAACUUGUCGUUGACGACGGAAGAGUUAACUUCAAUUUUGACGAGGUCGAUGGCUAUGUUGGGAACCUCGGCUAUCAUGACACGAUGGAGGGCAUUGGCCAUGGAGGCGUUGGUGUCAUGGCAGCAUAGUUGUCUUUGAGUUCUCGGAUUUUGACCCUUGGGAAUCGCUAGUAUGAAGCUCCUUCCAUUUUCUCUUCUUCUCCAUUUCUUCUCUUCUUCUUCUUCUUCUUCUUCUUCUACUGCCCAAGGCUCUUAAAUGGGGUUGUUUAAAUGACAGCUAGCCUACCGUUAAAUGUCAUGUCACUUUUCUGUUACAAACGUAACGGAAAAUGGUUAAAAAGAUUGAUUUGUUAUUUUUCAAAAAUUAAGUGAUUGAAUUGGAACUAGAGUGACUGUUUUGUCAAUUGCAUCAAAGUUGAGUGAUUGUUGUUGCAAUUUACCCCUUUUUUUUUAAUAGAGAUAAGCUUUGUGGUGGAAAUUUGUUAGGAAAGGAUGAUUGUAGGAAUGGUCCACAAAAUUAAUUGCAUUCCCUUUUCUUGAUGAAUUCUUAUCUUUGGGUCAACUCUUAGCUUAAAUACACUGCUAAAUUUAUUUUAGGUUGUACAAUAUAAAUGGAGCAAUUGAUGUCAGGAGAUAAGUUGGAAGUACAAUUAAAUUUUUUCAUAAGAGGAGAUGGGAUGAGAAGAUUUGAACCCAACAAUUAUUGGAAUUUAGAUUAUAAAAUUGGCGUGAAAUCAUGAAUUUAGAUUAUAAAAUUCUUUCCAUUUUAAUAAUCAUUUUAGAACUAGUUUGGUUUCCAAUCUAUAUUUUGUGUUGUGUUUUGUUUAUGUCAAAUUUUAAAGUAAAACUUUGAAAGUUAAAAUACAUUCUAAGUCCCUAUACACUUUGUACUUUUAGAAUUUAGUUCUCCUAGUUUUUAUUUUUAUGAAUUUAGUCUUUCUAUUUUUUGGUUUUCAAAAUUCAAGUCCCCAAUUAUUUUCACUGUUAAAAUUCUUCUAUUAAACUCACUAGUGUCACCUUUUGAAAUUACCAAAAAAAAAAUCAUUUUGUAGUCAUGUAAUAAUAAAGAAUAACGUUAAAAAUAAUGAUGUGGAUUUUUAUUUAAAAUACUCAUCCAAACUGAUCAUGAUAAAAUGACUUUUUUUUUUGUUGGAAUAGUGUUUUUAAGAAAAAUUGACGUCAAUAUUUUGAUUGGAAUAGUUUACAAUGUUAAUUAUUUAGACUAACUAAUGACAUUACAAAAAUAAAAUAAUGAAAUUAUGCCAAAAAUUAAGGAAUAUAAAUUAAAUCUCAAGUUUUAACAUAAUAUAGGGGCUAAUACUAAAAUUUGACCAUUAAUUUCCAUGUAAUAUAAAAUAAAAAUAAAAAAGUUGUGUGAAGCAGCCCAAGCUUAUGACAGAAAAAAAAAAACACGGCCCAAAGCUAAGGUUACGUGUUAGAAAGGGAAUGUCAUGAUAGGGGUGAGUAUUCGAUCAAGUCGAGUUAAAUUGAGUCAAAAAAGUUUAAGUUAGUCGAGUUUACGAAUCCUAUUUUAGUAACCGAACUCAAUUUGAAUUUUUUUUCUGAAUCAUAUUGAGUCAAAAAGUUUCGAGUCAAGUUGAGUCGAGCUAAAGAAUCCUAUUAUUUAUACUCAAAACUUAUAUUUACAUGGACCGAUUAUUUAACUAGUAGAUGAAGUACAAGAUUAUUUAACUACAUAAACAAUAUAAUGGUUUUGCCUUUUAACUUAAUGAGUAAAUAUUUAUCAAAACGAUAUAGUUUUGUCUUUUAAUUUAAUAGUUUUGACUUUUAACUUUGGAAAAGAUAAAUUCAGAUUUUCAGAUAACUCGAAUUGUGUAAUUCAUAUUCAAGUUGAAUAUAAAAACUUAAUUUUUUUAUUCGGGUUGAUCCGAAUAACUUGAUUAACUCAAAUAACUCGAACUAUUUAAUUCAAAAUUUAAAAUUUUUAUCAAAAUUUUCAGAUCAAAUCGAAUUUUGCUCACCCCUAGUAUUGGACAUUAUUUUUAUAUACGGGUGUAUAUAUAUGUGUGCGUGUGUGUGUUUGAUGUGAUUUCCUUGUGAGUUCCAUCUAUUUUUAGAAGUUUUUCCACGUAAAAUAUGUGUAUUUAAUAUUUUCAAUUCUUUUAUUAUUCUACUUGCUCGUUGCAAAUACGUUUGAUUCACAACAUUUUAACCUAAACUUAAUUGUAAAUGAUAAGAGAUAUUUUACGAUUAAAUAAAAAAAUUUAAACCACUAAACCAUUACCCUAAUAUGUCAAAACACAUGCAUUUUUUAAUUUCAAAAUUUAUGAAUUCCGAAGUAAAGAGCAUACGAUAUUUAUAUUAAUGUAAGAAAUGUAGGCUUGCUAAGUUUCGCAAAAUCAUAUUACACUUUUAAUUGAAUAUAAUGGUGGGAUGAUUCAAUUAUUAAAAACUAAGUUCGGGCAAAAAUGUAAAAAUAAUCUAAAAUUAAUUGAAUUAUUAUAAUAAAUUUAUAUAACUUAUGGAGUGAACCAAAUCAUGACAUAAUAUCAAAAAUAAUUAAGACAUGUCAUAUUACAAAUAAUAAAAACUCAACUUUAUAAGCAUAUCAAAAUUUAUUAUCAUGGCGUAUAAUAUGUUAUGAAAAAAGAAAAAAGAAAAAAGAAAAAAGAAAAAGAAGAGAGACAAUCGCUUCAUCAUGAGAUAUAAGCCCUUGAAACCAAAAGUUAGUUGAAGCUGUUAGGAUCGACUCAAUUAAGCAACAAGUAACAAAAAAUAGUGGAGUAAAUUGAGAAAUUGAACACACAAAUUUAACGUGGAAAACCCCUCCAAAGAGGAUAAAAACCACGGGCAAAAAUAAUUUUACUAUAAUGACAAAAGAAUGAAGAGUACAAAAGAUGGAGAUAAAAAGCUAAACCCCAAAAAACCCCAAAAACAAAGAACCCUCAAAACGUAAACACAAUGUAACGCCCCAGAAUUUUUAUUUUUGUUCUUGCAAAGGUAUAACACAAUUGUGUAUCUACUUUAGUGGUUAAGUGUUUUGGGUGUAUGAGAGGUCUCAAGUUCAAGCCAAGACUUGGCGAAAUUUUGGUAUUUUUAUGAAUAAGCUCUAUCUUUGGUCAGUAGGCUUUUAAGUAAGAGUCGACAAAUAAUUAAAAGAAUGAGCUUGUUCGUUUGGUGGAUAAGUGGAGUGUUGGUGUGAAGGAGGUUUUGUGUUCAAUUCUCUAUGGUGGCAUGGAGAUAGUAUUUUUGCUCCAAUUUUGGCUAAGAGUUGUGUUUGGGCAAAAUUCUGAGUAGUUGUGUUUUAGUGGGUUAAUAGGGAGUGAUUUUUGGAAAUAAUGGGGGAGAGGUUAUCAGAAAAUAAUCUGAUUGUCUUUUUAUUGCAUAAAAAAAGUAGAGUUUCGGUUUUCUCUCCAAUUACCCAAACUUUUUCUGACGUUUUCUUCUUUUUUUUCCCUCCGCUGUCGAUUCUUUCCCCUAGUUGUUGCCAAAAUUUCCAUUAUUUUUUCCCCUUCCAUUUCUUUCUUUUAUUUUCCAAUUGAUUUGGUUGUUUAUCGUUGGUUGCGUGUGUUCGGUAAGUAACGGUUUUGUCUAUUGUUAAUUGUUCUUAGUUAAUCUCUGAAAGGGGGAUUCCUUUUUGGUGUUUCGGAGUUAAUCAAGGGGCUAGUGGUUAUGAAUCGAUGCUGUGAUUGUGUGAAGUCAUGAUUACUCAAGCGAGGUAAGGGUUUUGUUAGGUUUUUAGUUGAGUUCCUUCCAAAAUUGGUUAAUUAAAAAUGAAUUAAGUGAUUAAUCUGGAGAUUUGUUGGUCGAUUUUUAGGUUAUGGAGGCUUAGGAGUGCUUACGCAUUAGAAAUGAUACCAGGUGUGUACCCGAAAAGCAGAAAAUGAGAUUCGGCGAAAAGCAUAAAUUGCUUGCUAUUUGGACAGCAGCAGUGGGCUAACUUUAAAAAAUCAUCAUAAAUUGUGAAAAUUGAAUUAAAGGAUGAAAAAAGUAUGGAAUUAAAUAUUAUUGAGUCUAGUUUCUCAUAGAGAAAUGGUGUAAGUAAUGGAAUUGUAAAUCGUGAGAUAUAAUAAAUUUUGUGAGACAAGGUCAGAAUGAAUUCAGGUUUCCCUUUUUUGACUUUGGAAAAUCAUUAAAAAUUGUAUAAAAAUGAUUAUGGGUUAAAAUUUAUAUGAUUAAAAUUCUUAAUGAGUAUAUUUUCAAGAGAAACAAACCUUAACAUCAUCUGAAUCUCGUACUAAGAGAUAAUUAAUUUUUAGAGAAGAAGGGUCGAAAUUAUCAGACAGCAGAACAGGGACAAUUUUGAAGAAUUAACUGUACUCAUUGGCUAAACCAAAAAUUCUAAAAAUUUUAAGGUAAGAAGAUAUGUGAGUCUGUUUUUCGGGAAAAUCAAGCGGAUCUUAAUUUUGAAUUCUGUAGCUCUAGUUAUAAAUAAUUUAGUGACAAUGACUCAAGUAGACAACUCUGAAUGAUCAUAUUAGUAAAUAGUGGAAACAUAUAUGAAUAUUUAGCUAGCAUGGGUUACAUUAAAAAUGGAUCACACGGCCAAGGCCAAUUUGGGCCGAGUGGGCCACGCGGGCACAUGGGCGUGUGGGUCCAUUUUUACCAAAAUGUUUCUAAGGCUGCACAGGUUGCCCAAGUCGACUGUGAACCUACUGUAAGGUCGGUAAGUGCUACUUAAACCCCUAAAUGUGUGAAAUUGACUGAAUGAUAUUUGUACUGAGCAUGUUAAUAUCUAAACUGAAUAUAUGUACUGAAAUUGCAUAAUAGCAUAUCAUCCAUGGUAUGUUGCAUUGCAUUGGGUUGAGGGUUGUUAUUUGGAGGAAAUGUACUAAAAGGCUUUAAGCCUAAUUUACUGGAAUCUUAGCUACAAACUACUGUUUUGUGCCGCAAUAUUCAAUACUACUUGAAGUGUAGGAAUGGGUGGGUUGAUUAUAUCCCCACAUGGUGUGUAGAGGCUGGUUGGCAAAUGGAGUUUUAGUAAGCACAAGCAUCGUCAUCUGUCCAUCAUAACUUGGAAGACAACAAAGAUACUCAUAAAAUAGAUCUGCAAACUGAAAAGAGAGAAGUCAUGUGGAGUGAAUAAGAAGAAGAAAGAAAAAAAGGUUGGUGGGAGGAAGAAAAAGGGUCGCGAUAGCCAAUCCGAAGGUUGUCAAUGCCAUUGGGCAAAAUAAAACAUAAUAAACAAACGGCUUGGAGAAAAAAAUUAAGAAAGAAGAAAAAAUUUAGGCAAAAUUUAUAUUAAUGUAAGAAAUGUAGACUUAUUAUGAUAUUACAUUUUUUAGUGUGAUCAUUCAAUUAUUAAAAAUGUAUUUAUAACAAAUUAUGUAAAAUUUUAUAUAAGCAUAUAAUAUGUUAUGCAAAGAGAAUCACUUUUCUUAGUUGAAUUGUUAUAACACAUUAUACAAAAUAUAUUUUAAAUUAAAGCAUAAUGUGAAUACGAUACCAACCAACAAAUUAAAUUCGAUGAUUUAUGGAUAAUUACAUUUAUUACUCAAUUUAAUUUAAUUCAAAGAGCUAUUGAAUACACAUAACAAUUAAUUAUGAUUAAACUUUAAAUUUCACAGAAAAUAAAAAGAAAUAGAUUGUUGAAAAUGAUAAAAUGGAAAGAUAAAGCUACAAACUUCCUCCCCACAAACCUAAGAGCUUUUUAUUCAAAAUGCAGAAAUCAACAAAAUAGUCCUCACAAUCCAACUUAGCAUAGUAAAACAAUUAGGUGGGGAAAUCAAAUAGUAAAUUCCUUUUUCCUUGAAUCAACACCAACCGACUUUGUUGAAAUCUUCACUAUAGCUAAUCACAUUGCCUGAAGAUGUGAUAUGUAAGAAAAUUGGCCAUUGUUGAGUAACGACAGGUUGUGAUGCACUUUCCAAUAAAAGAAAACCAAACACUUCGCCAAUAAGGAUUUAUGUAAAGAACAACAAAAAUUGUCAAGACCACAACUAUAUAAGAAACCAGGAAGCUCACACAAAAAUCAUAUGUGUCUAGCAAACUGUCCUCUCCUUCAUCAUCUAACGAAUUUGAUCUAGUUGAUGGUGCAUCUGGUUUGGAGCAACUUUUAUGCAAAAUAGUUCCACAAAGAAAAGGGUUUCCCUCGUAACUACUUUCAAUAAAGGUCCCAAAUUGAGCUUUUGGUUCAGGAAUACUACCUGACAAGUUGUUGUGUGCCACACUAAAAACUUCCAAAGAGUUCAACUCUACCAACUGAUUGGGGAUUUCACCACUCAAGUUGUUGUAAGAAAGGUCCAAACUCUCAAUUUGAUGAAGUUUUGAGAAUGAUGAAGGUAUAACUCCGAUCAACUUAUUGUGUGACAAGUUUAAAGAAUAGAUUUCACUUAAGUUCCCUAAUUCUGGUGGGAUAUGACCAGUUAAGUUGUUGCAAGAUAAAUCAAUCCCGGUCAUAUAUGCAAGGAUGUUGCCCUCGUACGAAUACAACCCACUCUUUGUUGUGAACUCUAUUACUUCUUCUAAAUUCUAUUACUUCUUCUAAGUAGCUGUCAGGGUAGUAAGGAUUUAUAUCCCUUUCCAAUUUUCUCAUCGCAAUGGAUGUUGAUUCAUCCUUUUCUGUAAAUGGAAGAUAGAACCCAGUUGCUAGACUCUCUUUCUCUUUCAUUGGAAGAGAUAAAUUUCCCAAACAAGAAGGUAUAGGACCAGAAAACAUAUUUUGAGAAAGAUCUAUGAUGCUUAAAGAAUACAACUUGCAUAACUGAAUUGGAACUUUGCCAUGAAAAUGAUUAUCUUUCAAGAGAAGAACACUCAAAGAAGAAAGUGUGUCAAUCCAUUUUGGCAUGCUACCUGUCAAAUUUUUUUCUCUAAGAUCUAAAGUCACUAGUGAAGAGCUAUUAUAAAAAGCAAGUGAUAGUGGACCUCUCAGUCUAUUCCCGUGGAGGUGGACAUGCUUUAUGUUUGGUGGAUUAAAACAUGACGGUAUAGAGCCAGAUAAAUUAUUUUGAGAAAGAUCCAAAAACUCCAACCAAUUCAAGUUGCAAAAUUCCAUUGGAAUAGAACCCUCGAAACCAUUGUUGGACAAAGCCAAUCUCAAUAAAAAUGAUGCAUUCCCUAUCCAUCUUGGGAGCUUUCCAUGCAACUGGUUGUUACUGAGAUCAAUAUCGCUUAGUGAAUUUGGAAACUCAAAAGUAGACACAUCAACAUUUGUCACCUCUCCUGAAAAUUUAUUUCCAUCCAAAUAUAAAUUCUGCAGCCCAUUUGCUUUGAGAAUCGCAGGAACUACAUUUCCACUGAAGUUGUUAUUUGAUAGUCUCAAAAUGGUCAGUGAGCCUUUCGUGAUCAACUCUUCUGGUACUUUUCCAUACAAUUGAUUGUUUGAUAGAUCUAAAAUUGAUAAAUCCUUCAUGCCACUUAAACAAAGUGGGAUAUUACCUUCAAAAGCAUUCUUGGAUAAGAAUAACCGACUCAAAUGUGGAAAAGUUGAACAUAUACUGGUCGGAAUUUGACCUUGUAUUUUGUUUUCAGAGAUGUCAAUUGAAGAUACAUUAGAAAUAAGAGCUGACGAAAAUGAGAGAGGACCUGUAAAAGAAUUGCCCUUCAAGAUGAGAUCUUCUAACUUUGUGUUGUUUUCUAACAACCAAGUUGGGACCGUUCCACUGAAAUUGUUAUGAGAAAGAUCCACAUAUCUCAAGUCAUAUUGGUAGUAAAGGAAGGUAGGAAGCUUACGACUGAGCUGUUGAGAUGUUAUGCACUUUGACAAACUGAUGACUUCCAAUUGGAACUUUGGGAUUGAGGUAUAAAAGGAAGGUUCCGUUACCAUCUUGUUUUCAUUACUCAAGAGGGCUUUGAUAUUUGAAAGGUUUGCAAAUGGUGCGAAUGACAACGGAAUUUGAAAAUGGUUUCUUGAAAUAUCUAACACACGAAGAGCUGUCAAGUUACUAAAACAAUGAGGAAGCAUCCCCUCCAGUGCAUUCCCACUCACAUCCAAUACUUCAAGAUUCCUUAGAUCACACCAUCCUGAAAAAUUGAAAAAAUUGGUGGAAGAAAUUCUAAUUAAAUUUGGUCUUAUUUAAGAGAAUAUGAGAUAUUACACAAAGCUCAUACAAAAUUCAAUUUGAGCCAUAAAUUUAUUUACCUUGAUUAGGUAGGGGACCAAUAAGUCAACAAUCAUAUAAAGAUAAUGUUUUAAGAGAAACAAGUACUCCAAUGCUUUGCAAAAUAUUGGUGUUGAGAGUAGAAUAGUCAAGAUAUAUUUCCUCCACAUUUCUCGACACAUUUGAUUCUAAGCAAUGUCUAGAGAUAUUAGAUAACGAUAUUGUAAAUAGAAAAUUAUAAUUGAUCAUGAGAAAGAAGUUCAUAUUGACGAGAAAUGCCGAGGACAGCAAUCGCCAUCCCAUGUCAAAAAAAUCAUUUGAGAUAAAUAAUGUUUGAUUUUCUCAGUCUUUUAUUUUUUGUGAAUGAAAAGAAAUAUAAUUUACUUGAAGUUUUUUUAAUUAUUCGAAAAUGCCAUUUAUUUAUUUUAGGCCAAAAAAUUCCAUUUAUUUAACUGUAAUAUAUAUUUUUAUGUUUUAUAUUAUUAAAACCAUAUGAAAUUAAAAUGAUAGUUAUAUGACAUAUUUUUCCAUAAAUAUGAGUAUUUUUUAUUUAUAAUAUUAUUUUUUUAUUUUUAUAAUUAUUUUUUAUCUCAUAAAAAUUUAAUAAAUUAUUUUGAAAUUAUAUUUAUACAAACAAAAUAAUUAUGAACUCUAAUAUUUUAAAAUUAUGCAAAAUUUAAAAUAUUUUACUUUCAAACCGAAGACCAUAGGAUUUAUAAAAUGUUUCACCGAACCCAUAAGCUGAAUUUUUCCAUGUAUGAUAUAAAACAUAAAGACAAGGAUGAGCAACACAAAGACAGAAAAUUAUUAUUUGGUAGUUUGUUGAUUUACUUUAAGGAUUUAGCAGUUUCAAUCAUGUUCCUGUUAUGCUUUGAUUUUAUUUAGGUUCAUCCAUGUAAAACAAAGAAACAAAAACAUUAAUUAGUUGAAAAAUAAUUAAUUGUGUUAUAACAUAAUCCAAACCUUGUAUUAACAAAUAUUCUGUUUUUUAACCUUUUUCAACGAUGAAGUGGGGAGCACCGAUUCAGGGGCCAAGCAACAACUUUGUAUUGGAGGAUCGAUAUAAAAUUAUUUUUUUUGGAGGGACUAAAGUUAAAAUUAUUUGUGUUAAAAUUGUUGAAAUUGAAUUUUUAAUGUUUAAAGUGACUCAAAAUGCAAUUUUUAUGCAUAUAAUUAAAAAGCUACAGAGGAUUAUAUUGAAUAAUUAAAUUUUAAAAGGACUAAAAAGGGUAUUAUACCCUUGAUUAAAAUAUGUCAUAGGUCCUUGUACUUUUCAAAAAUUUGUAAUUUAGUCGAUAUACUUUUAUUUCUAAGGAUUUAGGCCCUCUACAUUUUCAAAUUUUAGAAUUUAAGUUCAAUUGUUAACAUUAGUUUUUUUUCCAAUGUUUUGAAAUAAAGAAAAUAUUCAAUUGGUAGCAAUGUAACUAAAAAAAUAGCAUUAUAAUGAACCUAAAUUUAACAAAAUAAUCUUAAUAGUGUCAACAAUUAAACUUAAAUUUUAAAAUCUAAAAAGUAGAGGGAUUAAAUUCGUAAAAAUAAAAAUAUAGAGACUAAUUUACAAAGAGUAUAAGGAUUUAUGUUAUAUUUUAACCUAUACCCGUUAGCCUAGGGGGGCCAAGACCUCUGUCUACCCCUUUGGCUUUUCCUCUACACCAAUUGAACAUUAGUUUAAUUGACAUUGUUGAUAUUGCAACAACUCUUUUUCUUUAUUUUCUUCAUCUUAUGAAAAAUGUUAAUUUUUAGUUUUGGACAUUUUUAAUAUGCUUAAAUUUGAGAUUUAAUUAUUAUCCUUUAUUUCUAAUUUAAAUUAAGCUUUAUAUUUUUAUAAUUUUACUAGUUAGUUCAAAUAGUUAAUUCAUUAACUUUUCAAUUAAAAUAUUAUGUAGUUAUAUAUUAUUUAAAAGUGGAUUUUUAAAUAGAUUAAAUUCUUAAAAAUAAAAGUUGAAGGAAAAAAAAUAAAAUUUAAACAAAAACGAAAGUUUAGUCAAAUGAUACCUUUAUGGAUCAUAAAAUCUAUCAAUUCAUUUGCCCUCAUAUUCAAAUGCAUCCAAAUCUGGAAAAAAAAGGGUAACAUAUAAACCUCAUUAUAUUAUCUUAAAACAUUAUUAAUGUUUUUGUUAAUUGAGUCAAGAUUUUGGGAAAAGAAAAUGUUUUUACCUUUUGCAUCUAUUGGUCCUUUCAAUUGAUUGCUUAUGGUCAAAGUUUUCAAAUUCAAAAGCUUGUUAAGAGAUGCAAAGACACUAUUAUUGAAGAGAUUGGAAUUUAAAUUAAGCUCUUUUAAGUGCGUCAAUUCCGAUUUUCUACCACCAUCUGCAAAAGAUUUACAUAAGUUCAUCACUGAAAAAAAUUAGCAUAAAAUUUAAUUAUAUAUAAAAACUUAGAUAACUCAUCAAAUAUAAAUACAUACCUUUGGAGGAUUGAAGGCUUUCAAUUUGAUUCUCGCUUAGAUCAAGUUUCUUCAAGUUUAUCAAAUUACUCAAUCCUAUAUAUUUUCACGUCCAAUUCAAAUAAUUAUGUUAAUAAUUUAAUUUUUACCGAAUAUUUGAAUGAGUUUCAUAAAAUAAAAACAAAAAAUUGGUUUGUUAGGCAAUUUUUUUAGGUGUUGUAGAAAUUUUAAGUUCCUCCAAGUUUAUUAUGCUUAAUUGUUUUUCAUCUAUAGUAGGAAGAAGAAUAGUUUCUAAUUAAUAUUAUAGGCUUUGAAUAUUUUAUAAGUUCAUCCCUUUGAAAAUUUAAUUUAUUCAAUAUAUAAAAAUCAUACUUGUACCUUUGUUUGAGAUGCUUUCAAUUCUGUUCCCACUUAAAUCCAAGUAGUUCAAGUCUGUCAAAUUAUUCAAUUCUGAAAUUCAAUCCUAAAUAUUGAUUAGUUAUAUAUAUUCAUGAUAUGAUAAAAUCAAAUAACAUAUUGCAAGUUUGCAACAACUUUUCCUUCAACAUAAAUUGAUUUUAAAGUACAAAAGAAACAAGUAAAAUCAAUCUACCUUGAAUAUGAAGCAGCCUUCCUUCCAACUGAUUACUACUCAAUCUUAAAGUCUUCAAGGAUGAAAGAUUUCUCAUAUCGAAUAGAAUGCUAUUCUUCCAAGAAUUCCCACUUAAAUUAAGAGUUUCCAAUUUAGUGAGUCUUGAAAGCCACUGAAAACCUGAUUUAUAUACUAUAUAAUUAGUUACUACUAAACAUAAUAAAUAAUAAUACUCUAAUUUUACAAUAAAAAUUUACUAAAAUCUGUCAUUGCCUGUUGGAAUAAUAGUCUAUCAGAAAAGUCAUGCACAAAUACUUAUACCUUGGUUUGAGAUGCUUUCAAUGUUGUUGUAACUUAAAUCCAAGUACUUCAAGUUUGUCAAAUUAUUCCAUUCUGAUGAAAUUCAAUCCCAAUGUUGAUCAGUUAUGUUUUCAUGAUAAGAUAAAAGCAAAUGAAAUAUUGCUAUAGCUUUUUCUUAAACCAAAUUGAUUUUAAAGUAAAAGGAAGCAUGUAAAAUAAGUCUACCUUGAAUAUGAAAUAAUAUAUAAAUACUAUAUUUAUACCUUUGUUUGAGAUGCUUUCAAUUUUGUUCCCACUUAAAUCCAAGGACUUCAAGUUUGUCAAAUUAUUCAAUUCUAAAAUUCAAUCCCAAAUGUUGAUCAGUUAUAUUUUCAGGACAAGAUAAAAGCAAAUGACAUAUUGCAAUAACUUUUCCUUAAACCAAAUUGAUUUUAAAGUAAAAAAGAAACAGGUAAAACCAAUCUACCUUGAGUAUGAAUCAACUUUCCUUCCAAAAGAUUGUAUCUCAAACUUAAAGUCUUCAAGGAUGAAAGAUUUCUCAUAUAGACCAUAUUGCUAUUCUUCAAAGAAUUCCCACUUAAAUAAAGAGUUUCCAAUUUAGUGAGCCUUGAAAGCCACUGAAAACCUGAUUUAUAUACCAUAUAAUAAGUUACUGCAAAACAUAAAUAAAUAAUAAUACUCCAUUUUUUAGUUAAUUUGAGUAAGUUCUUGUUAGUCUUUUUUUCAUCUCAACCAUAUGAAAAAUUAUUGAAGCAAAAACUAAGUUACAGGGGAUAAAAGAAUGGAAAAUCACUGUCAAACGUCACAAUACAAAUAAAAACUAACAAUAGACCAAACUUAAUUUACCUCUUGGAUGACUUGAUCCUUCGAACCGGUUGUGUGAUAAAUCUAAAUAUCGGAGAGACGAAAGCUCACUCAAAGAUAAUAGAAUGCUAUCAUUCAAGUGAUUGUAACUUAAGUAAAGGAUCUCUAAAUUACUUAAUGUGGGUGAUAGCUUUCCAAAACCUGUAGGAGUGUUCUUUUAAUUAUAUACAAGUAAUUAAUGACUUUUCUUCAGUAAAAUAAAAUAAAUUAUAAGUAAUUGCAAACUAACAAUGAAUAGAGAAAUAGAAUAAUAAAAUAUGUAAUUAAGGGAAAAUUAAAGGCACGACCUUCAUUUUCUAGGUUACCACCUAUGGCAUUCUCUGACAAAUAAAGACUCUUCAAUUUCUCAAAAGGAAGAAACAUAGAGGCAUUGAGAUACCAAUAAUCCAUGUUGUAUUCCCAUUUUGUAGAAUUAAGGGAGAGUUGUAUGACUCUCCUAGUGAUGGAGUUGCACUUAACUCUUUCCCAUUUACAGCAAUCUGAACCCUUCAGAUCAACCCAACUUUUCAAUGGGUUACCAUAAUUGAAGAAAGGUUUGAGAUGCAAGAGAGCGAUUCUCUCAUGCUCCAAACAAGCAUCAGUAGUACACCACCUACAUCCUUCUAACACCAACAACAGUACUGCCAUCCUAAUAAACCAUAACCAUUUCCACUCCAUCAUCAUCAUCUUUCUGUUUUCCCUUCUCUCUCAGCUAUAUGUUACUUUUUUAACUUCUAUAUGUAUAUAAUCUGCAGAAGCCUAAGCAGGACCUAUGCAUCCCACUAAUUCACUGUAGUAUUAAAAUAACAUAUAAUUAAUUAGUUCCUCAAAAAUUGAAUGAAUCUAGACUUGUGCUGCUCUAACUUAUACGUUAGGAAAUAAAUGUUGACACAAUUUUUUGUUUUAUUUAGAAGUUGUAGUUAACUAUAUUUGCUUGGAAUGAAACUGAAUUCAAAUCAAUCAAAUUAAUUAUAAUAAAAAAUAAAAUAUCAAAAAACUGUUCAAAAUAUGAGUUAUGUAGAAGCCCUGUUCGACAUAUUUUAACUUUUAUUCUUUAUAUAAAAAUGAGAGUUACAAUAAAUAGUAAAAAGAAAAUCUAAUCAAAUGCACUUUUCCAUAACAAAAUUAAUUGCAUUCCUUGUGGAAAAUGAACUCUUGACUUUGCCGACCAUCCUCGACUGAAAUAGGCUGCUAAUUUUAAUUUAGACUGUAGAAAAAAUUUUAACCCAAUUAAUGUCAUUUGAAAUUAAAAUUACUUUAUAAACCUUUUGUUAGCCCUUAAAUUAAUAAACCUUUGUAAAAAUAGUUAUUGUAGCUAAUUGAGUUUUAACUCAAUCGGUAUUGGUAUUGUUGUCAGUAAAAGAAGACGUAAGUUUAAGUGUGCAGAAACGUGUGUUUUCUCCUAUUUAAGGAUUAGGGUGGAUUAUGAAUAAUUCUUUGAAUUGUAUUAACUUAGAAGCUUUGAGAUACUCACAAUUGAAUUAAACAUUCAAUAUAUAUAUUUAUCUUAUUUUUUUUUCUAUUUCCGAUAAAUAAGAAAAGAUCAUUCUUUACGCCACCAUACGAUUUUAGUAUCACAAUCAAAUGAGACUUUUAAAAGUCUUAACACUAUACAAGUAGUUAGUCGACAAAACUUGCACUAAUUUACUCUUUACGCCGAAAUUAUUUACAAAGUGCAAACAACAUUACUUUCACACUAAUUUUUUCCUUCUAUUUAUGUGGGAUAAAUAUCAAAAUUAUAUAUGAAUUUUAAUUUAAUGUGUAAUAUUAUAUAUAAAUUUUGAUUUUGUGUAAUUUUAAAAUGAAAUUUUGAUUUGAUUUAAUUUUCACAAAUCAUUAACAACAUCAUCGAAUUAGUACUAUAUUACAUUGAUAUAUUGCAUGCACAAACAGGUAUACUAAACCAAUAUGAAAAUAAAUAUAUGUAUUCAUUUAUUUAAAUGUGUACAAUUGAAUCAAAAUAAAAGUUUCAUGUAUACAUAUGGAUCACAAUUCAAGUUUCAUACAUAUAAUUGUACCAAAUCAAAGUUCAUAUAUCAAAUUGCACAUUAAGCCAAAAUUUAUGUAUAAAUUUAAUAUUUAUCCCAUUUAUGGGAGAUUAGCUUUCCAAUGGUAUUGUUUUAUUUACAUUAAUCCAAAUAAUUGGAAAUGAUGAAUUAGUUUAACGAAGAUUGUAAUUCUAUUAAUGUUUCUUCUCGAAUUUUUGGUUGCUCUUAUUAGCAUGUUUUAUUAAUUGAUAGAUUUAAAUUCUUGGAAUAUAUUCUAAUUAAUUAGAUAUUUCCUUCCUUCCAAAAGCCUUUCAAAAUAGGUUUAGUUCGACCAAGAUACUCUUGUAGAAAAUUUUAGUUUUGUGGGAAAAAGAAAACUAGAUUUAUUUUUUACUCUAAUUGGUUUUAUAUGCAAGGUAUAUAAACUUUUGUGUCGCUGCAAUUUUUUUCCAACAUAUGUAUGUGAUUUGUGGGGUUUCAAUUUUGAAUUUUUUUUUACAAUUUAAUUAAAUUGUGAAAGUAUUUGAAAGUAUUUGAGUUGAUACAAUGUUUAGAACUACCCCAACACCCACCUAACCCUUAAAUAGGAGGAUAAACACGCUUCAGCACACUCGAACUCACAUCCUCCUACACCGAUGAUAAUACUAAUGCCAACAGAGUUAAGACUCAACCAGCCUUGAAUUUUGAAUUUUACUUCUUACACAUUUUGAAUUUUGAAAUUUUAGUUUUGACCCAAACAGUAGCAGUUAAAUCAAUUUGAUUAAAUUUAAUUACUAGUCCUAUAUUAUGCGUACGAUUAUUGAUUAGUCUAUACUCUCAAAUUGGGCAAUUCUAAGUACCUAUACUUUCCGAAUUUUGAAAUUUCAGUCUUGAUGCAAAUGACAAUUAUUAAUCCAUUAAUUUGAUUUUUAGUGAGUAAUAUGUGAAAAUAACAAACUGGUAUAACAUUACACAUAUGAUAAUAUGUUUAUUCCACCACAUUUGAAAAUAGCCGAAUUUAACAAAUAUUGUUAGUGAGGAUUGGAAAUUAGAGUCUAGCCCCCUACAAUAAUUUAGGUUAUGGAAAUAAUCUUGCAAAUAAUGCUUGAGACAUCAUUAUACAUCAAUUUAUAGUUUUAAUUCUUAUACUUACUCAAUUGGAAUAAAGAUUUAGUUUUUUAUUUUCUUUUAAUACAUUGUCUAGAAUCUUUAUUCCAAUUGAGUAAGUAUAAGAAUUAAAACUAUAAAUUGAUGUAUAAUGAUGUCUCAAGCAUUAAAAAUAACUAACUUCAUUAAAAAAUUCAUUAGUUGGCUCUCUAAGACUUAAAAAUUAAAAUUAUGUGGUUAUUAAAAAAGAAUUAUUUUUAUUAAAUUAUUAUUUAAAAUAAAUUUAUCUCAUCAUAAUGAUAUGAAUUUUUUUUCUUUAAAAAAUCCACAUUAACCGACUAAUAGAAUUGUAUAAAGCUGCCACCAAUCUCUUGGCAUGAUGGCAAAAGAUUCAGAGGCAAGCCAGAAAGUUUUUUGAGAGGAGUGAAUAAAGUUAUAUCUUUUUAUUAUAGUAAAAAUGAAAUUUUAUUAUUUUAAUAAUUUAUAUUUUUAUAAUUUUUAAAAGAUUAAAUAAAAUUUUUUUUUAUUUUUGAGGGGAUAAAGUAUAAGUUUAUCAUAUACUAAUUUAAAAAUUUUAAAAUUAUAAAAAGACUAAAGAUGAAAUUUUUCAUUUUAGGGAGAUGGGGCCCUGCCAGGUCCCUUGACUUCGCCUUGAUAAAAGUAUUAUGUUGCAAGUAUAAAGUUUGAGUUUAAUCUCGAACAAUCUCAUUUCUUAUCCCUAAUUAUAAAAUAAUAAAAUAAAUAGAGCAAUUGAUGUGAGGAGGCAAGUGUAAUAGGUCAAUUUUGACCUGGGCCAGAUUUCAAAACAAAACCCAAAUUAAAUAAUAAAAGAGUCCAAAAUAAUUAAAACAAUCCAUCCAUUUUACAAACAAACCCAAAUUAGCAGCCCAAAUACAAAUUAAAACUCAAUAACUCAAAACUAACCCUAGCCCAAUUAGCUCAACACUUAAACACAACAAAAAAACCCCUAGCCCCCUAAGCCUCCAACGCCGCAUGACCACCUGUGCCGCACGCCGCCGCCGCUCAAGGCUUGCCUAUCACCGACCAUCCACGCGUCUAACACUUGCAAAACCAAGGCAACAUGCAACAACAAAGGCCAAAUAGAGGAAACAACAAGGAAACAGACAAAAAAGGAAGAAACAAACAGUUUUGAUUUGGCUACAAAAGCCCGAAUCUCACCCUUGUAAUUUUUUCAAGAACAUUAGAAAAUAAAAAAACAAAAACAACACUUUCAAGGUGAAUUUCUACUUUUAUUUCUGUUUUAAAUACCUAUUUGAUUCUAUAUUCAUAUUUUUAUUUGAUUUUAUAUAUAUAAUAAAAUAAUAAAAUAAAAAAAGGAAGAAAGGGCUCACCGGAGACGCCCCGUGACCGCGCCGUCGGAGGGCUCUUCUCCAUUGUUGCCAUCGAAUCCGAGAGAGGGUCGGGAGUACUCCUCUUUUGUUUUUUUUGGGUCGAGAGGGCUGGGCUUCCAAGGGAGCUGUGAAACGGGGGCUAAAAACGACCUUUUGCGCAACGCCGGCCACCGGCCACAGGCCACAGCGGCGCUGCGGCGGCAACCCUGGCCUGCCAAGGGGUGGGCUGAGAGAGAGACCAAGAGAGACUGAGAGAGUUCUCUAUUUUUUUAGAAAAAUAAAAGUUGAACUGUUUUUUUCUUUUUCUUUUUGCUAUUUAUAUAGGGUAUAAAACUGCGUCGUUUUGGACUUAAGCAUCAGUGGCCAAAAUGACGCUGUUUUGCAUCAGACCCGAAAGCCAACCCGAAUGCAGUCAGGAUCCUAGCGCAUUUUAGCUUUGAGGAGCUAUUUGCAUAUUCAACCCUUCCGCUUUUGCAAUAUAGUGCAAUUUGGUCCUCGUUGUUUUUAUAUUUUGGCCGCAUAAUUUUCUGAUUGUUUUACUUUGGUUCGAGCUAAAACGCUACGCAUGGGGGCUGGGAAUAUUUGCCAGUCGGUCCCUCAUUCCUUAAGCACGCUCUAUUUCAGUCCCUAGGCUUUUUUUAUUUAUUUGCAAUUUGAACCCCAAAUUUUGGGUCGAUUUCAGUAUCAUCCUUAGUCCAUUUAAUUUAUUUGUUCAUUAUUAUUUUUUAUUUAAAAAGCUCUUUUAUUAUUAUUUGUUUUAAGUUUUUUAUUUAUCAUUUACUUUAAACUGUUUUACAUACUAUUUAUUUAAAAUUUUUUUAUAUUAUUCAUUUUAAACCAUUAUAUGUACAUUAUCUUUUAAAUUCUUAUAUACAUAUAUAUAUGUCGAAACCGUUUUUUUGAAAACAAAAAUUUUUAGUUUCGACUUAAAAAUAAAAACUGGAGUCGCCACCGAUCCUUGAUUGAGGUGUGACCGGCUCACCUUAAAAACAAUUUUGGUCUACGAGAUUUGAGAAAAUGAGUCCGGGAGUCAGUUACGCACGAGGAAGGAUUAGCACCCUCGUAACACCCAAAAUCGGUACCAAAUUGAUUCUUUAAUGCCUUGGUGUCGAAAAUUUGAAAAGAUUUUAAAAGGAAACUUUUUAUUUCAUGAAUGAAUCAAAAUAAUAAGACAUUCUUAUUUCAAAGAAAUAAAACACCACACCCAGUGAGUUAGGGCACAAUAUUUUUAAAUCUUCAAAAUACCCGAAUAUUACCUUUUGCUUUUGAAAAUUCUUAUUUCGAGAAGUCAAAAUAUCAGGACCAGUAAGUUAGGACCCAACAUUUUUGAACUCCCAAGAAUAAGCUUUUAUUUAAAAUUUACGAAUUUAUUGCAAAACAAAUACUUGGCUUUCUAAAUUCAUCGAAAAAUAAUCACGAUCCAGUCAGUUAGGACACGAUCUUUCUCGAGAAUCAUGAAUGCCAAAUAUUUUGGAAAUUUGUAAAAUAUGAUGAUUUUAAUGCCUUGACGAAGCCAAUAUAUAUUUUCUUUAAAAGCAUGAUAAAAUGUUAAUGCAUAACAUGAAACCAAUACUUUAAUUUAAAUCGUAUGUAUAUAUGUAUUUGCAAAUCGCGAAAAUAAAAUAAAUAUAAAUGUAUGGAUAUGUCAUGAAAAUAUGUGUGCAUUUAAAUAUAUGUAUAUAUGUACAAUAUGUAUAAAACCAUGAAAUAUAUAAAAUAAUAAAGAAAAAUGUGUACGUAUAUGUAACAGAGAAUGCAUGUAUGCUUUAAAUUAUAAGAUAUAGGAAAUAAAUAUGUUACAACAAUGUAUAUCUAUAUAAAAUAUAAAUGUAUAUAAAAGUAAGUAAAAGUUAUGCAAGUAGAAUAAUAAAAAAUAUAUAUAUGUAAGGUGCAUGGGUUUAUAAAAAUUAUUUUUAAGAAAAAAUGUAUGCAUAUAUUAUUGUAGAGAAUAAGCAUAUGUAUAUAUAUAGUAAUGGUAAUAAUAAUAAUGAUAAUAAUAAUAAAAAUGAUAAUAGUAAUAAUAAUAAUAAUAAUAAUAAUAAUAAUAAUAUAUGACAUAAUUAAUAAUAUAAAAAACAACAAAUUAAGGAUUAAAUUGGAAAUAAGCGAAGUUUUGAAACUAAAUUUAAAGAUGGGAAUUAAAUAAGGACCAAAUUAAGAUGCGCGCAACAGUAGGAGGAUCGAAAAGAUAAUUUGCCCAAACCUCCCAAAUGCUGCGCAGCAACAUGGACCAAAUUGAAACAGUAUUAAAACAUAUGGCCUAAUUUAAAAAAAUAAAAAGACGGAUUUAAACACCCCUCAUAAAACAGAGGACCAAAUGUGAAAUUGUCCCCUUUCACAGAAAUGCGCGGAUCCUUCCCCGGGUCGGGUCACCGCACGGGUCGUAGGGCUGAAACGGCGCCGUUUUUGUGCUUACCCUUCGGCCCAAAACAGUGCCGUUUUCGGUAAGCUAUAAAUACAAUGUUUUUUUUUAAAAAACUCAUUGUUCUUUCUAUUUCAAAAAAAAAACAAAAAAAAAAUUUCCUUUUCUCUCAAGCAGGCCCAAAAUCCGGCCAAACUCCGGCGAGUGGCCACUGCGCCGUUCACGGCGGCGGGGAGUAAAAAAUCUCGCCUUUUUUAAACUGUUUUUAGAUCCCGUUCAAUAGUCAAACUGCUUUGGCUCAAAAGGAUGACCCUUGGCCCCUUCUCCUCUCGGAUCCGACGUUCUUGAAGGAGGAGAGCCCUCCGACGGUGAACCCGCAAGGCAAAUCAGGUAAGCCCGUUCCCCUUUUACUUCUUAUUUAUUAUGCGUAAAAAAAACAAACAGAAAGAGCAAACAAGGAAAAAAAAAACCGAAUCUAAGGGAAAAAAAAACCUCCGUUUUGUAUUUUAUUUUUUCAAAUCUUUUUUCUUCGUAUUUUCCUCUCUAUUUUCGUAUGUCUUUACACUCAAGACCCCCCUUUUCAGAUCUCCCCCCACGGCUUUUAAAUAGUCGAAAAUAACAACAAAAUAAGCAACAAAAUCAUAUCUCCCUUCAAUAUUGGUUGCGAUUUUUGCUACUACUCUGCUAUUGCUGCGCCAUAUGCUUCUUUUUCGCAGGUGUGGUGGCUGUUGAGUGCGUGGGAGCGACAAGCGCGAUGUGCGGCGCUUGCGGAGGGGUGGUGCGCAGGGUGAUGCGGCGCUGAAGCAGAAAGGGCUAGGGUUUCUGGACUGGGCUAGGGUUAAUGUAAUUGGGCUAAAUUUUUGGGUUUAGUCUGUAGAUGGGUAAUUGGGUCUGCUAUGUUUUUAUUUUAUAUGGGCCCGGGCAGAAAAAUUGGGUAUUACAAUAUAUAUUAAAAAAAACUGUUGUAUGUUUCUUAUUUAUUUAUUUUAAACUGUUAUUAUUAUUCAUUUUAAGUUUUUAUAUACUGUUUAUUUGAAGCCUUUUAUUAUUUAUUUUUGAAUUGUUCUUAUAAAUUAUUUAAUUUAAAUUAUUAUUCUUUGAAUUUUUUUUUUUGCAUAUUAUUUUGUUUUGUUUUCUUUGAUUGUUAAUAUUAGUAUAAAAAAUGAUAUACAUUGUGUGACUAUUACCAUCAUGUGUACUAUAAUUAGUUUCUUCGUGUUUUCAUAUUAUUAUCACUCAUUAACAUAUAUAACAUUUUUUCAUAAAUUGUUAUUUUAUGUUCUAUGUUAUCAUUCCAUUUCACUUCAUCACUUUGAAAUUAAGUUGCCUUCAAUUUGUGUUUACCCAUAAUAAACCGUUCUAUUUUGUCACAAAUAAAACAAAUGCACCUCGUUCAAGCAUUGUACUCGCAAUUAUUCAAAAAAGAGAAAAAUUUUAAAAUAAGGCAAUAUUUCGCAUUUUGGAGAUUCGAGAAAUUGUACCCUAACUUACGAGGUUUCAAUUUUCUCAUUGAACCUAAAUAGCAAAAUAUCUUUCUAAUUUUCAAAAUUUACGAAUUCCAAUAAAGUUAAAGGCUAGCUUAUUCUCGAGGGUUUCAAGUGUCGUGUCCUAACUUACGGGAUGUGACAUUUAUUAUCUUGAGACGAGAGGAUCUUUGGCAUUUGUUUAGAUUUAUUCAAGCAAAUUCUUUUAAAUUGAAAUAGCGUUAACAAAAGGGGGAUUGUGUUUUAAAUUCUUUCGAAGUUUUUCAAUUUUUAAUAUUUAGACAUUAAUUAAUCAAUUGGGUACCAAUUUUGGGCGUGACGAGGAUGCUAAUCUUUCCUCGCAUGUAACUGAUUCCCGAAUCCGUUUUCUCAAAUUUCGCAGACCAAAAUCACUGUUUUGAUAAAUUAAAAUAUUUUAUUAAAACAACUAAAUUAUGAGAUGACCUAAUCACACCUCGUAAAAAAAAUAUUGGUGGCGACUCCCGUUUUAAUUUCCGUUUUCAAACCAACACCGACCCUUUUAAAAAAAAUGGUUUCAAUAUUAAGUUAUAAGUGAAUGAAUUAAAAAUAUGUGAAAAGUGUAAAUAAAGACUCUUCAAUCUCAUUUCCUCUAAUGCUCUUUUUUUUUUUAAUCAGAGAAGUUGUAAUUGACUGGAAUGAAAUUAAUAAUCGCCUUAUUAUUUCACUUUUUUUCUUCAUAUGUUUGGCGUCAGUACAGGUUGGACUGAUUUUAAAGUUGAAGUAAAACGAUAUCAAACAAAAACCAUUCUGGUUUUUAAAAUUAUGAGUCCAAAUCAAUCCAAUUAGUUUAACUAGAUUUUAAUGUCUUAUGUGUUAUGAUGAUGAAGCAAGUUGAUCAAGGGACUUGCUUCAUCUUUCAAAAUAUGAGUUGCUUAAGAGCCCUGUUUGACGCUUUUUUUUUUCUUAAAUUACAAACGAAAAGGUAUUUUUUAAAAAAAAAUUAACUUAAUGAAUUUUUUAUAGAUAUAAAUUUCCUGCAAAGUUAUUCUUUUUGAAAAAAUAUUUUUUUAAUUUUUUAUAUACCUUUUAAAUAGUUAAUGAAAAUAAGAGUUUUCAUUUCGAAAUGCAAAAGCCAAAAACAGUUUUUGACUACAAAAGCUGUGUGUUCUUCAUCACUUCUGCAGUGGAAAAACACUUCUGCAGUGUAAAAACACUUUUAACCCAAAACGGGUUUUCACCUAAGUAGAGAAUCCACCCUAAAAUUGUAAAUAGAAAAAGGAAGGACCAAACAUUGUUUCUACCCUGUUUUUGUCUCCUCUUUGAAAAUACUUUCCAAAAAGUUUUAUCAUUUUCUUUUUAUUAAGUUUUCUGUUGGAUCUUAUAGUCAAAUUCCUUUACAUCAUGUACGUUAAUUUGCUUCGCUCUGAUAAAUGUUAGAUAUAGGGUUAUCAGCUAAUUAGGAAAGACUGAUGAUAGUCACCCCUUACAUCCAAAAGCAAAGCUUUUUUCACAUGUGUAUGUAAGGUUGCUAAGCAAAUCUGAUGAGCCUUCACUGAUGUUUUAAGGUUUAAGUUGAUGUUCCUUUUCGGCAAAGAACAUUAUCGAGAUCACAGAAUUUUGAUCGCCUUUUGCUUGUUAUGUUAUUCGUUCUUAAACGAUUGCAUAAUCUUUACUGUGAUUGCAGGAUAUAGAGGAACUUUUGAAUUUCAUCGGUGUAACGAGUUUAGGACCUUGGCAUGUUCUUGCAAAUUUGAAGGAGCUUCUAAGGUCUGUCCAGUCUUCAGAAUAUAUAGAUACCUGAAUUAAUUUUGAUUUUGUAGGAUCAACUAUAAUUAGCUACUUAUUACAGUAUGAAUAGACAACCUGACCUUCUUCACACACGACACAUGUGCGGAUUUUUUUACCAAUCCCAUUUCAUUAAAGAAAAAAAAGAGCUUUAAAAAAGGAUCACACUUUUUUGUUGUUUACAGAAUCAUAAUGUUAAUUAGAGUGGAAUAUUUCAGAUUUCUGAUAAUGAGUAUAUUAUUGAGUAUUGCAGUAAAAAAAUGGGUGUGCAACUUAUUUGAACUUUGAAUGUAUGUUUUGUUGGUGAGAAUAUAAAGUUGAUAAAGAUUUGGUAAAUAGAAUAAAAUACUAUUUUUUAUUAGAAAAAAUAUUUGGUACACUGCCAAUCGAGUUAUAAUUAUCAUGACACAAUAUUAAGGGUAAUUAAAACAUGUCAUAUUACAAAUAAUAAAAUUAUAAUGACUCAAAUCUGCAAACAUGUCAAAAUUUACGUACAAUGAAUUAUUAACAUGUAAAUGUAUAAUAUGGUAUGCAAAAAUAAGAUCAUUGCUUGUUUUUUAAAUUGAAUUGUUAUAACAUAUUGUACAAAAUACAUUGUGAAUUAAGGCAUAAUAUGAACAUGAUAUCAAAAUAUUAAAUUUUUUUAAAAUUCGAUGAUAUGAAUAAUUAUGUAAAAUAUAACAUGAUACAAAAUAACUUGAAAGGAAAAGAGGAAUAAAGAAUUGCAUUGUUUUUGAGGUUUUAAAAUAUUUCAGUUUUAGAUUCAUUUUUCUAGUAUGUUUGGUUUAAUUUUACAUUAGAUUUCCUUUACAGUAUGCACUAGUGAACGCUUAGUAUUCAAUUUAAUUUAAUUCAAAGAGAUAUUGCAUAUACAUAAUAAUGGAUUAUGAUUUUACAUUAAAUUUCAUAGAAGAAAAAAGAAAUAGAUGGUUGAAAAUGAUAAAAUCAUAAGAUAAAAGAGCUUUUAUUUAAAAUUCAAAAAUCAACAAAAUAUUCAUUAUCGCUCAACUUAGCAUAAUUAAACAUUUAGGUGUGAAAAUCAAAUUACAAUUUGAGUAGCUAAACACAUUGCUUGAAAAUGUGAUAAGUAAGAAAAUUGCCCACAUUUGAGUAGCGACAGGUGGUGAUGCAUUUCCCAAUGAGAGAAAACCAAACUCUUCGCCAGUAUGGAUUUAUGUAGAGGACAACAAAAAUUGUCAACAACACAACUACAUAAGAAACCAAAAAGCUCACACAAAAAUCAUAAGUACCUAUCAAACCAUCUUCUCCUUUAUCUUCUGAUACAGUUGAUAUC